UGGUGGCUCCAAGCUCGCCUCCCGAAACGAUAUAAGGAGCUCGUCGCCUCCCCGCAACCCUAGGGCUCCCGUUUUCCCCUUCUCCUCCCUCUCGCGCCGUCAGGGAAGGGCCUCCGACGCGGACGCCAUGGGAGGUCCUCAGUGAGCUCGAGCAGCAGCAGUUCGCGGACUCCUCCGCUCCUUCGAUAGCACUAGGUGGACGCGGUGGCCGAGGAGAUCCCGUUCCCAUAGCAACCUGAUGGCUUCUUCCUCGACGUCCACGUUGUCUUCUUCCUCCCCUGCUGUCGGCGAACUCCUCUGCUUCGGAUCGACGCCCUCCUUCCUCUCCUGCACCGGUUCAUCAUCUAGGUUCUAGGUGAGCGUUCCCCGCUUCUUCCCCCUCUCUGGUAGCACGAGUAGGUGAACAAAGCGACGACUGUCCAGAGUAGUGCGUAGGAGCUCGAGCAGCAGCACCACCGUAGCUAGGUGGUCGUAGAUCCGGCGUAGCAGUGCUUCUAUCGGAGAGAUUAGGCCGGGAAUGGAAUCCAUGUGGUUCCUACUUCCCCCCCCNNNNNNNNNNNNNNNNNNNNNNNNNNNNNNNNNNNNNNNNNNNNNNNNNNNNNNNNNNNNNNNNNNNNNNNNNNNNNNNNNNNNNNNNNNNNNNNNNNNNCUGAACACCUACUUACGUCAAACAUAACCCCACCAUGUUCCCCAUCGAAGAGAGGUCUUCGAAGGAGACAGUCACGGUUACGCACACAGUUGGCAGUUUUAUUAGAGUUAGUUCAAGUUAUCAGGACCGGAUGUUAACAAAUUAUCCAUGCUUGCCACAUAACCGCAGGCACGACUUUCCGAAAGAUUAAACCCUGCAGGGGUGCUCCAACUAGUCCAUCAAAACGGUCACGAGCCGCAAAGUAAUCCUCUAUCACGAAUCUCGUGAUCUCGUCGGAUUCCUUAGAGGAAAACCUCAACUUUGAGGAGACCCAAAGUUUCAUCGGGAUUCCUAUACGCAAGAUAUAUCGCUAAGGUAAGACAAAUCUAGCAGGACCUCCCGACGUNNNNNNNNNNGGGAGACCGAAAGUUUCACCUGGAUUCCUAUACCCAAGAUAUAUCGCUAAGGUAAGACAAAUCUAGCAGGACCUCCCGACGUGUCGACGACCCCGAUAAGAGCCGCGUAUCUCAGUCUCAGGACACGCCGGAUAAGCGAAGCGUACGGUGGCCUGAUAGAAAUCUCCUGAGUUGCCCCGGGUUGGCCCCGCACGGUGCUCUGGUUUGGACCAACACUCAUGAGGAGCACUGGCCCGGGUUGUUGAUUAAAUCCUCGGGGUAGCUAUUCCCUAUGCAAAUUAUUAUUAGGUGAUUAGCAAAUUAAAACCAAUGUUGGGUCCUACCGGACAAGCCUUAACACUACACGAUUUAUCAAGGGGGACCCCAUAACAACCCCGAACGUGUUAGGAGCGAUCAGUUAUGGAAUCAANNNNNNNNNNAAUAAGAGCCGCGUAUCUCAGUCUCAGGACAUGCCGGAUAAGCGAAGCGUACGGUGGCCUGAUAGAAAUCUCCUCAGUUGCCCCGGGUUGGCCCCGCACGAUGCUCUGGUUUGGACCAACACUCAUGAGGAGCAUUGGCCCGGGUUGUUGAAUAAAUCCUCGGGGUAACUAUUCCCUAUGCAAAUUAUUAGUAGGUGAUUAUAAAAUUAAAACCAAUGUUGGGUCCUGCCGGACAAGCCUUAACACUACACGAUUUAUCAAGGGGGUCCCCAUAACAACCCCGAACGUGUUAGGAGCGAUCAGUUAUGGAAUCAAACACCGGUAGCCGAAACUAAGGUGGCAACAACGGAACAAGUCACCUGGCAAAAGGCUAGGCCUUCCGUCAUUUACCAAGUAUAUAGGUGCAUUAAUUAAAUAGAAGAUUAAUCAUAAUGAUAUCAAAAUACUCAUGUUAUCACAUGAGACAGCUGGCACCUGCAACUAACAAAACUAAUCAUUAGAAGUUGAGCAAGCCUACUUAGCCAAACAUUAGCUAGGAGGGGAAGGUGUUUUGGGUUUCAUGGCAUUAACAAGAGGCAUUUUAACAAGUGGUAGGCAGUGAGCAUAUAUCGAAGGAAACGUGAUUCUAAGCAUAACAAAGCUAGAUAUGGUAUCAAGGUCACGGUCAUCUUGCGUGUGAUGUCUUUAGCUUGGAACUGCUCUUGAUCGUCCUGCACGUACUCUCCAGAAUCCACGUACUCGCUCUCUGAUCCCGGUGCUACCCAAGAUAAAAAAACAGCCAAUGUACUCCAACACAACAUGAUGCAACAAAUAAUGUGAUGCAUGAGAUGAGAAGGAAGCAUGCCUCACUAUUCUAGUCACUUGCAUAUACAUGAGAUGAGAAGAUAAACUUCUGGACAGAACUUCACACUAAGCUAUCUUGACAUGCAUGAGGAUGGCAUGAAGAGGUGCAUCACGAGAAAACGAUGCAAAAACAUAUAAAGAACGUUGAGAACGGAGCUACGGAUCAACCGGAAACUACGAAACAAGAUAUGGAGUCCUACGGGUGAAAUCAAACACAAGAACACUCCAAUGGCACUCUUCUGGUGUUCCCAGGUUGCCACAUGAUCAAACAAACAAAUAUAAGUGGAGUGGUGCAAAGAAACUCACCACACCACCAACAAUACUCACACAAGCUUCAAAACAACUAAAACAUGCAAUCUGACCUAAACAACAUCAUAGCAGUUUGCCUACAACAUUCAAAGUACCUACAGCCACCUAAAUGAGCCAAACAAGAUAUGUGGCAAAAGACAUUCAAAAGCUCUACAAGCCUGAGCAAUAAGCUACUGAAAAGGCAUCACACGUAAGAAGAUCUAUGGACACAAACUUGGACAAAAAUAAUAGAUUUCUCGGACUUAGUGAAAAUCUCAGAUUUUCACUAGCUGCUUAUGCUCUGAAGCAUUUUGGCAGCCUCCAAAAUGAUAUCUACAGGAAGUGAAAGUGCAUGAAAUUUAACGGAGGGCUAGACAAACCCAAAAUCUCACAAACCUUAGUUUGUUGCAUGGGUUGAUUCCCAAUACAUGAGCUUGUGCAACCACAUCAACAAGGGAAGAAAAUAACAGCAGUUUCUCAGAUUUUCACAAAGCUGACAAUUUCAGCCAAGUGUCAACUUUGACAANNNNNNNNNNNNNNNNNNNNNNNNNNNNNNNNNNNNNNNNNNNNNNNNNNNNNNNNNNNNNNNNNNNNNNNNNNNNNNNNNNNNNNNNNNNNNNNNNNNNGGCAUAAGAACCUUGGUUUGCUCAUGAAUAUUAUAUACUUAGCUUGUUUUCCUCUAAAAUGACAUAAUUAGCCCAUUUAGCUCCAAAAUGGCCUAUUUAAUAAAACAAUGACCUAUACUUACCUAAGUUCUCUUCUAAAUGACAUAAUAAGGCUAUGUAGCUCCAAGAUGACCUAUUCCACCUAACUUAGCUAUUAAAUGGCCUAUAAUUAGCUUAGCUAGCUCGCAAAUGGCUUAAUAAUCAUAGUUGGCUCCAAAAUGACAUAUUUUACCCAAGUUAGCUCUAGAAUGGCCUAUACUUUGCUUGGCUUCCACCUAAAUGACAUAAUUAGCUUAAUUAGCUCCAAAAUGGCCUAUUUAAUAAAAAAUGACCAAUACUUACCUAAGUUCUCUUCUAAAUGACAUAAUAAGGCUAUGUAGCUCCAAUAUGACCUAUUGCACCUAACUUAGCUAUUAAAGGCGUGUUCAGAGUCCCUCCACUCCACCACUCCGCUCCAGGAGCGGGUGGAGCUGAAGUUCAAAACUGUGGAGCGGGUCAAUAGACACUCCGUGGAUCCUUGAAUUCGAGGGAGCCGGUUGAUUGCCGAACAACCCCUAAAUGGCCUAUAAUUAGCUUAGCUAGCUCCAAAAUGGCUUACUAAUCAUAGUUGGCUCCAAAAUGACAUAUUUUAUCCAAGUUAGCUCUAGAAUGGCCUAUACUUAGCUAAGUUCUCUCCUAAAUGACAUAAUAAGUCUAUGUAGCUCCAAGAUGACCUAUUCCACCUAACUUAGAUAUUAAAUGGCCUAUAAUUAGCUUAGCUAGCUCCAAAAUGGAUUAAUAAGCAUAGUUGGCUCCAAAAUGACAUAUUUUUUCCCAAGUAGCUCCAAAAUGACAUAUACUUAGCUAAGUUCUCUCCUAAUGACAUAAUAAGGCUAUGCAGCUCCAAGAUGACUUAUUCCCCCUAACUUAGCUAAGUUCUCUCUGAAAUGACCUAUACUUUUCUUCUUCAUCUAGUCUUCUUCUUCUAACUUUUUAUUUGCCAUUUUGUAGAUUACAUUCACUUCACGGGAAGCUUGGAUUAUAUUGAUGGAGUGCUUGAAUAUGGUUGAUUCUACCAUGGCUUCACGGAAGCUUGGAUUGAAACUAUUGUAGUAUAUGGAUAUAUAUGUAACUUUGAAUGCAUGGAUGAAACUAUUGUAAUAUAUGGUUUGGUACGGAUGCAACUUGCAUAAUAUGUAUGUAUUAUGGAUGAAAGUUAUUUUAAUAUGGUUAUGAGUAUGGAAACAAAAUUAUUUCUGUCAAAUAUAUAUAUAUCCUGAUUAUUGUGAAAAUUAUUCCUGAUUUGUGUGAAAAUUGCUGGAUAUUAUAGAAAAUAAAAUAAACAGGGUUUGUUUUGAGCCUUUGUCGUCCGCCCACCAAUGGCAAAGGGCAUGCAGCAGAGGGAAAAGGCUCAAACAUGCGUGGGAUGAAACAUGCUGGGGUGCCCCUUUGCCGUUGGCCUGAGACAUGGCUGACGACAAAAGAGGAGGGCAGACGACAAAGGUGAGGGAGAGAGGGGCUGGGUGCCCCCCUUUGCCGUCGGCCUCAAACAUGGCUGACGACAAAGGGGGGGGGGUAGGGAAGACGACAAAGGUGGGGUAGGGCAGAUGACAAAGGGGGGGUAGGCCUAGCAGGCUGCCGUUAGCACUUAACGGGAGCGAUUGCGAAUCUGCCAUCCCAUUUUGUUUGCCAUUAGCCCCACCAUGGCAAAGAUUCUUUGUAGUCCGCCUUCCAAAGGCACACGACAAAGAACCUCUUUGCCGGAUAAAUCUUUGCCGUCUAGUUUGCCGUCCGGGGCGCCCCCCUUUGCCGUCUGCCCUGCCGGACGACAAAGUUUCUAAUCCCUGUAGUGCACAUAGCUACUGUAGAAGAUCUCAGCCCCGAGGAGGAACUACUCCCGCUUCAUGGAGGGAGGAAGCAACAUCGACGGAGAUGAAUCCCGGGGCACUUCCCUGUCCCGGCAGGGUGCCGGCACAGGAAUUCUGGUCCCCCGAAACUUGUUGACGAUGGCGGCGGAUAUUGGAAUUGCUUUUGGCGAAAAGGGUUCCAGAAUCAGCAUUUCCUCCACGGGGGUAAAAGUAGGAGCCGAGGUAGGGUUCCAGAGGAGGUGGGCCCCACCCAAGCGGCCUGUGGGCGCGACCAGGGGGUAGGCCGUGCAGGGAGGCCGCCUGGGCGACGCCUGGCUCCCCUCUAGCGAACCUUUGGUGCUCUCGAAGCUUCUGUCACGCUGAUUUUUAUAUAUUUUUCUUGGGAUUUUUGGGACUCGGUAAAUUGGGGUAAAAGUCCGUGCAAAAAAAGACAUCAGCAGACAAAAACUAGCACUAGGUGCACUGAGUUACUAGGUUUGUCCAAAUAUGUGUCAAAAGGUAUGAAAGUGUACAAAACACAUAGCAAUAUCACCCAAAACUUGCAUGGAGCAAGCAGAAAUUAUAGAUACGCUUGGGACGUAUCAACAUCCCCAAGCUUAAUUCCUACUCGUCCUCGAGUAGGUAAAUGAUAACAAGCAUAAUUUAUGUGGUGACAUGCUAACACACAUAUAAGAACUUCAAAGUAAAGCAAGCAAGAUAUGAAAUUCAAGUCAAGACAAUAACAAGCAAGAGUCUAUAUCUAGUAUUGAAACUAGCAAAGUAAGAACAUAAAGGUGCAAGAGCUCUCGCUGUCCGUGACUCGAAUGUCUCCAAAUGGUGUUUGCGUGCAAGAAGCGGGAGAUAGGUUUAGAGCAUAAAAAUAGUAUUUAAUUGAGAACUCAAUCUACUAAAACUUUACACUUGGUCUCCUUCAGAAUCUUAUUUUGACUCAUCGCCAGACCACUAGUCAGGCACAAGUCAAAAUGAUCCUCUCCCUUUCGACUUUGAGCACUCAUACAAUGGAUGAGCGCAAUCAAGAUAUGUUGGCACUUAGGAUGGAAAAUAGAAUAAUGAUGGGGAAGGACGACAAAUAGGUGUGAAAGGCUCACAUCAAUGAGGACAACCAUAGGCGAGAGAAGGCCAAAUGAUAGAUAUGAUGUGAGGAGUAGGGAUUGCCAUGCAACGGAUGCAUGAAUGAUAAUCUCUAUGUAGUACAAAUAUAACAAUGGAGUACGAGUGUGGAUCUUUCAAAAGGAAUAGUAGUGUUGCCCCCUUCUCUCUUUUUAUUUCUUUUUCUUUUUUUCUUUUUUUGUGUGGCCUCUUUGGUGCUUUAUAUAAUUCUCUCAUUUGUCGUCUUUGGGAUCUUUUCAUUUGUCCUCUUUGGGAUCUUUUCCUCACUUAAGGGCAACACUCUAUGUUUUACAAGAAUAAAAAGAAGAUCAUCACACUUUAUAAGAAGUACUCAACAUAAAGACAAAUGAAAACUAUCAUGAUGUAUGCAAAUGUAUGCCUCUACCAGUGUAGGAGGAUAUGCAAUGAUACUAGCACGUCAUGCAGCAAUAAUAAGGACAAGGACCAACUAGCAUGCGGCUCCUCGAUCAAGCAAAAGCAUGUAUGACAUGAAGAUCAAGUCAUGAGAUGGUGGAUGUUGCAUGGCAAUGUAUCUCGGAAAGGCUAUGGAAAUGCCUUAAUAGGUAGGUAUGGUGGCUAUUUUGAGGAAAGAUAUAAUGAGGCUUAUGAUGACAGAGUUUAUCAUGUCAAGGGUUUGGAUGAACCGGCGAAGUUUGCACCAACUCUCAAGAUGAGAAAGGGAAAUGCAUGGUACCGAAGAGGCUAGGGAUGGUGGAAGUUGNNNNNNNNNNNNNNNNNNNNNNNNNNNNNNNNNNNNNNNNNNNNNNNNNNNNNNNNNNNNNNNNNNNNNNNNNNNNNNNNNNNNNNNNNNNNNNNNNNNNCUUGAAACCCAAAGUAGUAAUUUCAUCACUACUCAAAGUUUUGAUAUCCUCUACUCCGCUUUCAAUGCUUCUAGCAUCAAGGUAGAUAGACUCCGAAUCAUUGGGGCGUUUUCCAACCAAAGUGGAUUCAUAUCCAGCCCCAUCAUCAUUAGGUUUAACAUUAGAAAACAAGGAUUCAAUGGGAGUCACACCAAGCACUUUAAGAUCUUUGUGAUUCUCAUCAUGAGAACACACCUUUUCAAGCCAUUCAUGUCUAGCACGAAUUUGGGCGGUUCUUUCUUUACUCUCAUUCAUGAAACACGCAUAGCUUUGAAAGUUUCAUCCAUAUUAAUCUUGGGAGGAGCACAUCUCAAUUUCAAAGCAUCAAUAUCAAGAGACAUUAUAUCAACGGUCCUAGCCAAGUCAUCAAUUUUGAGCAGUUUUUCUUCUAUGGACGCAUUGAAAAUCUUUUGCGAGUUGAUAAUCUCUUUAAUAUUACUCUCAAGAUCAUAGGUUAAUUUAUUGUAAUUUCCAUGAGCAUUGUUGUAGGAAUUGCCAAAGUUAUUAGAAGGAUUACUAGGAAAAGGCCUAGGAAUAAAGUUACCUCUAUAAGCAUUGUUGUUGCCAAAAUCAUUCCUACCAACAAAAUUAACAUCCAAGCUCUCAUUGCUAUUCUCAAUCAAGGAAGACAAAGGUAUAUCAUUUGGAUCUAGACGAGCACCUUUACUAGCAAACAAUUUCAUUAACUCAUCCAUCUUAGAACUCAAAGAGUUAAUUUCUUCUAUAUCACGCAUUUUUUUACUAGUAGGUGACCUUUCAGUGUGCCAUUGAGAAUAGUUUGUCAUGAUAUUGUCUAGGAGUUUUGUGGCUUCUCCUAAUGUGAUUUCCAUGAAGGUUCCACCGGAGGCGGAAUCCAAGAUAUUUCUAGAAGCAAAAUUCAAACCAGCAUAGAAGAUUUUUAUAAUCAUCCAAAGACUCAAGCCAUGAGCGGGACAAUUUCUAAUCAUCAAUUUCAUCCUCUCCCAAGAUUGUGCAACAUGUUUAUGAUCUAGUUGCUUAAAAUUCAUGAUAUCAUUAUGGAGAGAGAUAAUCUUAGCCGGUGGAAAAUACUUGGAUAUAUAAGCAUCUUUACACUUGUUCCAAGAAUCAAUGCUAUUUUUGGGUAAAGAUGAAAACCAAAUUUUUGCUCGAUCUCGUAAUGAGAACGGAAAUAACUUCAAUUUAAUCACAUAAUUAUCCACAUCUUUCUUCUUUAGUGGCAGGAGCAAUCGGAGUACUAAUAAAAUCAUUAUUAUUAGUAUUCGAGAAGUCACACAAUUUGGUGUUUUCAGUCAUGGUGACUUCAGCAAGCAGACAAGCACACAAGCGAACAGAAAGCAAGCGAAAGAAAAGGCGAACGAAAAAGGCAAAUAUUUUUGUAUUUUUUUUUCAGAAGUGGGGGAGAGGAAAACGAGAGGCAAAAGGCAAAAAAGUAAAUGCAAGAGAUGAGUUUGUGAUAGUUACUUGGAUGAGCUUCACUUAGAAUAAUCCCCGGUGCCAGAAAUUGACAUGUUGAAGGGAGACUAUUCUUGACUUGAUACUCCCCGGCAACGGCGCCAGAAGUUCUUCUUGCUACCUCUUGAGCUUGCGUUGGUUUUUUCCCUUGAAGAGGAAAGGUUAUGCAUCACAGUAGCAGUAAGUAUUUCCCUCAGUUUGAGAACCAAGGUAUCAAUCCAGUAGGAGUAUCAAGACAAGUCACCAAUGUACCUGCGCAAAAACAAACAAACUUGCACCCAACGCUAUAAAGGGGUUGUCAAUCCCUUCACGAUUAAUUGCAAGGUGAGAUCUGAAGGUGGAAAGUGCAACAAAGUAAAAGUGUAGAGCUGAAAUUAUGAUGUGAACUAGACCCGGGGGCCAUAGUGUUCACUAGAGGCUUCUCUCAUGAUAGCAAGUAUUACGGUGGGUGAACGAAUUACUGUCGAGCAAUUGAUAGAACCGCGCAAAGUCAUGACAAUAUCUAAGGCAAUGAUCAUACAUAUAGGCAUCACGUCUGAGACAAGUAGACCGAUACUGUCUGCAUCUACUACUAUUACUCCACACAUCAACCGCUAUCCAGCAUGCAUCUAGUGUAUUGAGUUCAUAACGAACAGAGUAACGCCUUAAGCAAGAUGACAUGAUGUAGAGGGAUAAAUUCAUGCAAUAGUUAUAAACCCCAUAUUUUUACCCUUGAUGGCAACAACAUGAUGUGUGCCUCGCUACCCCUUCUGUCAAUGGGUGAGGACACCGCACGGUAUGAACCCAAAACCAAGCACUUCUCCCAUUGCAAGAAUUAUAGAUCAAGUUGGCCAAACGAAACCCACAACUCGAAGAGAAUUACAAGGAUACGAAAUCAUGCAUAUAAGAGAUGAGAGGAAACUCAAAUAAUAUUCAUAGAUAAUCUGAUCAUAAAUCCACAAUUCAUCGGAUCUCGACAAACACACCGCAACAGAAGGUUACACCGGAUAGAUCUCCAUGAAGAUCAUGGAGAACUUUGUAUUGAAGAUCCAAGAGAGAGAAGAAGCCAUCUAGCUACUAGCUAUGGACCCGAAGGUCUGCGGUGAACUACUCACGCAUCAUUGGAGAGGCAAUGGUGUUGAUGAAGAAGCCCUCCAUGUCUGAAUCCCCCCUCGGCAGGGCACCAGAACGUGCCCCAGAUGGGAUCUUGCGGAGAGAGAAGCUUGCGGCUGCAGGAAAAGUAUUUUCGUGGCUCUCUCUGGCAGUUUUGGAUUUUUAGGGAAUUUAUAGGCGGAAGAAGUAGGGCAAAGGAGCCAUGGGGGGCCCACAAGCCUGGUAGGCGCCCCCCAGGCCAUGGCUAGGGGGCUUGUCGCCUCCCCUAGAAUCCUUUGCCUUGGUUCUCAAGUUCCUUGCGUAUCUUGUGUUACGGAAAAAAUCUUUCCGAAGGUUUUAUUCCGUUUGGGUUCCGUUUAAUAUUCUUCUGUGAAAAGGGUCAAAACCAUGGAAAAAACAGGAACUGGCACUUGGCACUGAGUUAAUAGGUUAGUCCCAAAAAAGAUAUAAGAUAGCAUAAUCAUGCAAACAAAACAUCCAAAGUUGACAAGAUAAUAGCAUGGAACCAUAAACAAUUAUAGAUAUGUUGGAGACGUAUCAGGGGGUUUAGGUGUGUCCACAGCCCUCCCAACCCUCCUUUAUUUAUAGGAGGAAGGGUUGAGGGGGUCGUACACCCUAAUAAACCCUAGGAGGGGGCGGCGGCGGCCCUAGGGGUGGCUUGCCUCCCAAGUUGGACCACUACAAGGAAUAUGCUAAUACACGACGCUAUUUUUUCGUCGCUACAUCAUCACGGUUUUUAAUUUACGACGAUCUCACGACGAAAAACCAAGCGUCGAAAACGGAGCGUCACAAAUGGACAACAGCGAUGUUUUGAUCAAAAUCGUCGUAACCUUUACGACAAUUCCUGGAUUGUCGUAACCUUUACGACGAUCCUAAAUCGUCGUUGGCAAUCAAACCCAGUCCUACGUGGCAGUCCUAGGUGGCAAAAUUACGACGAAAUCAAAACGUCAUGGUUGAAAUCAGCCCAACCCAUUUCAAUUGAUCACAUGGGCUGGUUUUUUUGGGGGCUUUUUCUUAUUGGGCCUUAGCCUAUUUACAGCCACUUUAGUAAUCAUUUUUGGGCCCUAGCCUUUUAGUGUCCAAAUACAUUUGAUCCAAUUUCAGUUUUGGCCUUUUUUUCAUUUUUAAAUUCAGCAACUUUUUUUAUUUUAUGUUGUUAAUGAAUCUAUGAAUAACAGCCCAGUCAUGUGAAUUUUCAGAAAACAUUUUGACAGCAUAAUGCGUUGAAAGAAUCCAAACCAACAAGAAUGAUGCAAUGUUGUUGUUCAUUUCAAAACUGAUUCGUGCACUCCAAGUGCAAGUGAGUCAAUACAUUCACUAGAUUAAACUUUCCAUGUCACCAUCCUACCACAACAUUUCCACAACACCCCAAACUAAAAAAAUUACUCGCUCAUGGAUGAAUUUAACAGCCACUACUACUCGCUGCUGGCCCUUCCUUGCUUGUCUUGUCAUUCUUCCACAACGCAGGCAUCGACUCGCCAAGACAGGCCUUCCUUCCUUCCGUGCAUUGAAUACAAAAGGAGCUCAGAUAUAGCACCCAGUAGAACGCCAAGCCAUCAUCAGACACUUCACACCAUACGUCUUUAUCAAACACUUCACACCAUACGACACCCAGUCGUCCAACUACAACCAAGUGGCACUACAAGCUCCAUCCAUCGGGUCUUCUCGCCUUUGCAAUAUCAAACUUUCUGAUGACCUGGGCAGGGAGACACACACACACAUAGAGAUAACAAGAUUAACCGGUGGCCUCAAGAACCCAUAAAGGACAAACAAGCCAUAGAGCCAAAGCAACAUAAAUUUGUAGAACAACAAAAAGAACAAUAUGUGUUGCAUGUAUUUUAUACCAGGAAAAGGAACAACAGCCUAAAAGCCUACAUAUGCACUACAUUGGCUGAUAGCCGCACAACAAAAAAAUUAUCAAGCUGCAACUAUGAUACUCUCUUGGUUGCAACUAGCCUGGCCAGUGUCGGAUCACGUUGGGACAGUGUCUAACCAUUUUGUUACUUUGUGCAAGUGGCACUACAGAAAAAAUAUAUUAUAAGUUGGGGUGUAUCUAAAUGUAAGCCAGUCCUCAUACUUGUAAGCCCGGUAUGAAAGGAAGAAACCACAUUAAACAAAGUGACCUACUUGAUUUUCUUAUAGGUUGCUUGCAUGGAAUUUUCGUGUGAAAAAUCACAGCGAAAUACAUAUGCACGAAUCUCGUCAUUGUGUGUAACCGUGAACCUUUUUUUAAUUACAAUAAAGGGGCCGUAUGCAUCGUGCUGAUGCAGAGGCCGGAGGUAACCCUCUUUUUCUAAAAAAAAACUACAUUCAGAUCAACAUGCAUGCAUGCACGGUGAAAUGCAAAUAUAAACUCAGGUAUUUGUUCUGCUGAAGAAUCGAGCAAGACAAGUUCUCCAACAAAAAAACAAGUUCAACUAAGAGUGUCGUGGGUAUAAGCCUGACAGUAGAUGUGUAGGGUACGAAAGGAUGGGCAGAGCCUUAGCUACGACGAGGUUGUAUGAGUUCAGGCCCCUCUGCGGUGGAGGUAAUAGCCCUACGUCUCAGUGCUCUGGGAGNNNNNNNNNNNNNNNNNNNNNNNNNNNNNNNNNNNNNNNNNNNNNNNNNNNNNNNNNNNNNNNNNNNNNNNNNNNNNNNNNNNNNNNNNNNNNNNNNNNNNNNNNNNNNNNNNNNNNNNNNNNNNNNNNNNNNNNNNNNNNNNNNNNNNNNNNNNNNNNNNNNNNNNNNNNNNNNNNNNNNNNNNNNNNNNNNNNNNNNNNNNNNNNNNNNNNNNNNNNNNNNNNNNNNNNNNNNNNNNNNNNNNNNNNNNNNNNNNNNNNNNNNNNNNNNNNNNNNNNNNNNNNNNNNNNNNNNNNNNNNNNNNNNNNNNNNNNNNNNNNNNNNNNNNNNNNNNNNNNNNNNNNNNNNNNNNNNNNNNNNNNNNNNNNNNNNNNNNNNNNNNNNNNNNNNNNNNNNNNNNNNNNNNNNNNNNNNNNNGCCUACGUUACAGGUAACAUAAGUCUUAAAUGCUAAUAAAGGCACGGGGAAACGUAUGACCGUUUCCCUCCAGGGGGUUACGAGGCUCAGAGUGGAGUCCAGACGGUUAGUUUGAUACGCUCCGAAUGCUAGUCUCCGACUAGAUGGUCGAAGACCUGUUACCGACUGGAUGAUGGGAACUCCUUAGUUCAGUCGGAACUGACUAAGGGACUUGUCCCUUAUGAGAGGUAGUCCUUGGGUAGGACCUACAGGGCAGGCCUAUGACCCUACCAUAGGACUAUAACCCCAUCAUUAGUCCCCGAAUGGAUUGGGAUUGGAACGACGAAGCGAUGCUUGAAGUUUGGAUCCGACUGAUACGGAUGUGACUUUGGCGUUGCCUGCCUCAAUCCAUUUUAUCUUUUCUGACCAACGAUCCGAGUGGAAGUAUUUGUGAAACAAACUGUCGGAAACCGAGUGCUUCCGUGGCAUCUUCUGACGUGACCAGUCAACUGACAGCGGCGGAUUUUCCGGGAUCCUCAAAUUUCGGUUACCGCACGCUCAGCGGGGAUGACGACAUCGCGCUCGAGUAGCGCCUGACGCCUCGAUUCCCGCGCCUUCAUCUUCUCCACUGAUAUCGCCGCGGUCGGUCGGUGGAUAAGAUUUCGGGGCCACUUGCCAGUGACCCAGUCGGAACCUUACUUAAAUCCCAGCGGCGAGGGUUUUUUCGUUACGCUUGUCGGACAUCUCGCCUUUGCUCCGCUUCCUUCGCCAUCCUCUGCGCAUCCUAAGCUUCUUCCUUCUCCUUCUCCCUCGCGAAUCCGUAGCUUCCGCCAUGACAAAGGGGCAGACUAGCAAGCUAGAGGCGCGGAAGAAGAGGGGGAAGGUGGCGGCUCCUGCGCGGAAGCAGCGAACGCUACCGGCGGGGUGGAUCCAGGGGGACUUCCUCCCCUCCACUGUGAUGGAAGAGGACCUGCUGGAGCUGGUGGAGCACGGGCUGAUCGUGCACAAGUCGUGGAGGCUGUCGGCGGAGGGUGAGACCGAGCCGGCGCCCCGGGAGGGGGAGCGCGUCCUGCUGCUCAGCCACAUGCAUUGAGGUUUCUCCUUGCCCCCGCAUCCUUUCUUCAAAGGCAUAAUGAAUCACUUCGGGGCCCAGCUCCACCACUUUCCCCCGAAUGCCAUAGCCCAUCUCUCUGCUUUCGUAGUCUUGUGCGAGUGCUUCAUCGGUUGUCCUCCCCAUUGGGGGCUUUUCAAACAUAUCUUCUCUGCUAGAUCCCAAACUAUCAAACGACUUAAUCAGUCGGAUGAUAAGACUCACCUUCUCUAGCUCUGCGGAGGCUUAGGCUUCCAAAAGAAGAGCAAAGGUAGUUAUCCUGCUCUUCAGCUGAGUGAAUCGGUUAGGAACUGGCAGUCGACAUGGUUCUACUGCCAGGACAUUGCCAGCCCGAAUGCCACGACAGGGUUGCCCCCUUUUAGCUUAGAUCGACCAGCUCCGCCUAAGCAGCUCGCGCUCACGAAGGCGGAGAAGGUCGAAAUCUAGCCUCUGGUCGACGCACUCGUAGAUGUCGUCAGGAAGGGAGUCACCGGUACAGACUUGGUCGAGGUUUUCCUCGGUCGGCGCAUCCAACCACUUCAGGCCCGACACCACGCCAUGUGGCACUACACGGGGCCCGAAGACUCCACUCGGACCAACGUCGUGUGCGUGACCGGGGAGAUGGUGGCGUCGUGGGUGCUCCAGAUCACAGGUGCCUGUGAGAACCCCAGAGGGUCCCGGCGAGUGAGGGCUUUCUGCGCGGACAAUCCUCCUUCGAACCAGGUGAGUACAACUUGUCGAGUGCACAUAACUGUCUUAGUUUUAUCUCUUUCUUGAAUCUCUGUCUGGCGUCUGAUGUCGUCGACUGUAUUUUAUGCAGGUGGACCAACUGGUUCUCCCCUGUCUCGAACGGGAACCCGGCCGGGGAGGAGGAAGAGGACAGCCAGGAGGGCAGCGUGGAGAGUGUCGAGUACGUCUCCGACGGUGGGGAGAUGGAGGAGGAGUCUGGUGAGGAGGAGGAGGAAGACGAAGAGCAGGACUCGCCACCCUCGUCGCCAGAGCAUCGAACCAAGCGCCGACAUGAACCUGCAGCUCCCUCAGCCCCUCCAGCAUCCUCAAGUGCUCCGCCAACUGCUCCUACGGUUCCGAGUGCCCCGUCAACUGUCCCCAGGGUUCCGAGUGCUCGGAGCACCAAGAGGACCAGGGACGCUGCUGCUGAGCCUGCGGGUCAGCCUUCCAAGGUGGCCAAACCAAGCGGAUCUAAACCUCGGAAGGCUUUGCCGCGGAUGAGGGUCGCCGUUCCCGUCACCUCAACGUAAGUGCCUUGUUCUUCUAACUUCUUCUGAUAUUCGAUUGGACUCCUGUUUAUUGUUCGAAUGAAUUUCACUCGACAGAGUUUCUACCUCUGCCACCUCUCCGGCACGCCAGGGGGAUGAUCCCAUGGACGUGGACAAUGUCGUCUCGUCCCAGCCAGGUGCGUCGUAGCGAUUCCGAGAGUUUACAUUAUCGCAUCACGAAUUCUGUCUUCGGUCUUGCCCUUUUUCUUUCUGUGGUCUCACGCCAUUCGGUCGGGUUUCUCUCAGGGGCGAUUUAUGUGGAUGAGGGUGACCAGGGAAGGUCUGAGCAAGCUGCGGUGCCUGUCCUUGAGGCUGUUCCGCCAGUUACUGUUCUCACCGCGGACAUGCCGCCGACUGAGGCGAUGUCGUUGACUGAAACGGCGCUGGUUGCUGCCGAAUCGACUGGAGCGGGCCUUUGGAUGCCUAAGGAGCCUCCAAUGAUGCCAGGCCCGUAGAACGUCGAGUACAACGUCCAGCGCCUCCUAGAAGACCAGGUGGGAGCGGCCAAGGGGGCCAUGGUACAGGCGGAGCUAAUGGCGGGAGAAGCCAAGAAGGCGUACGACUCCAUCGCGUCCCUGUACCAGCGAAGCUUGGAACUGCGGGACGAUAUUCGAGUAAGUGGGCUAGUAAGUAUUUACUUUUCUCUUGUAACCCACUGGGUGUGCUCGGAUAUCGUAUGAUUUUUGCAAUGGGUUCACUCUUAGUGAACCCAGUGGGUGUAGUCCCCGAGACUUCUGUCGAGUGCUUGCACCGGCAGUUGUCUUUAUACACACUGUCUGUGACUUGAUCAGAUCACAAAUUAAUCUGUUGGAAUGUUAACAGUUGGUGCACUCGGAGUGCACCUAUUGGAUGAGUCUCCGAGAGUAAUUUUACUCAGGUCGGGUAGUAGUAGCCUCAUAGGCUUAGGUGUUAUCAUGUAUCUCAAUAGGGCGGACCUGUUUGAGUUUCAUGCCAGUGGAGUCACUCUCAGUGAACCCACUGGGUGUAGUCCCCGAGACCGCUGUUGACUGCUUGCGUCGUCAGGGGUCUGAAGAACUUAGACUUUUUAUUGUUGGAUUUGUCUGAUCGUCUCCUGGCGCUGGCUGGCAGAAAACUUGCGAGAUGGGGACGGCGUACGAGACUCUCAGGGCUGAAAAGGUUCAGUUUGCCGGUGAGCUAGAUGCGGCACUGGUUGCAAUGGCUGGUAUGAAGGAUGUUCUGGCGGAACGAGAGAAGUCCUUGGAGCAGGCCCGUGAAGCAAAAAAGGCAUUGACUGCUGAAGUGGAGAAAAUGAAGGCGCAUAGGUCCGAGCUGAUGGGGCAAAUGAAUGUGCUGAACAAGCGGUGUAUAGCACAGGAAAAUACGUCAGUGACUCGGCCCGGCAGAUGAUAACGCGUCUGGGUGGUAAGUCUUGUUUUUUCGAGUGCUUGUGGUAUGUGCAUUUCACUCGGCGCUUAUUGUUUGCUCGUCCUGUGUUUGUAGAUUUUUGCAUAGAUGUUGAGGCUGAAGCAGCUGACGUGGAGCGGUCGAUUCGUGAGAACAUUCCACUCGGCGAGGACGCCAAUCGAGAUCUGCUCCGAGCGCACAUUCGCGUGGGCAAAGUUGGGCCUUUCAUCGGUCGACUGAGAGAAGUCGUCGGCCGGAUCGACAAGGAGCUUUGGCCUGAGGACAAGUCUCGGCAUGAGAUGGAAGGCUUGAUGACUCGGCUGGAGGAGUGCAGUCAUGGAAGAAGUAUGCGUCUCGCUGUGGUGCGGACGUUGCUUUGUCUCUUGUCCGAGUGCAUUGCAAGGAGGUGCGCGAAGAGAAGCUGAAAGCGUUGCAGGUCGCCAACACGAAGAAACUUCGGUUCGAAGACUUCAUGGAAACCUUCCUUGAGAGCGCCACCCGCAUCGCCGACGGGAUCGAUCUGGACACAUUCGUAGAGCCCGCCAGUCCUAGCGCCAGUCCGGACGACGCUUAAGAAAACUUUUUACCUCGGUAUGCCGAGUGUUGGUUGUAAGAAACUUUGGCCACUGCUGUUGGCCGUCACAUUCUUGGCUCGGUGCGGGUAAGCUUGAUCCACACCGAGCCAACUAUCUUUAGGCGAACUUUGAAUUUGAAUCAAAUCUUUUGCUCUUCUGUUGCCAAAGAGUUGUUGAUACGAUUUUGGCUCGAGUUUUUGUUUGGCAUUUCUUGGUGAAGCCAAUGGCAAACAUGCGGAGCAUGUAAUUGUCAGUUGUCUUGACAUCUGCAUGAGCCUCCCUGAGGGUCUGCUGAUUCUCCGAGUGGAUCUGUAGGAUACACUCGAAGGCAAUAGAGUACUUAGGCGAUUCAUGAUCGCGGCUAAGUCUUCGAGUGCGAAUGUGAGGGCGCACUCGGAUUGAUUUGUUACUCAUGUAAUUGUCAGUGGUCUUGACAUCCACAUGAGCCUCAAUGAGGGUCUGCUACUCAUGUAAUUGUCAGUGGUCUUGACAUCCACAUGAGCCUCAAUGAGGGUCUACUGAGUCCCCGAGUGUAUCUGUAGGAUACAGUCGCAGGAAGCUUUCUCAUUGAAGCGAUUCUUUAUCGCAGUGAAGUCUUCGAGUGUGACGAGUAGUGCACGCUCGGAGAAAAUUUGUACUGAGGCGAUUCUUGAUCACAGCUCAGUCUCCGAGUGCGACGUUUAGUGAACACUCGGAGAAAGUUAUUACUUAGGCGAUUCUUGAUCGCAGCUAAGUCUCCGAGUGCGACGUGAAGUGCACACUCGGAGGAAGUCAGUACUUAGGCGAUUCUGGAUCGCAGCUAAGUUUUUUUUUUGAGACCGGAGUCUGCGACCGCGGAAGAAUUUUGAAUCUGCAAAAGCUCAAUCUGCUUUAUAUUAUUUUACCAAUAGUUGUUCUUUACAUUGCUUCAGUCGACGGUCACGUGUAGAAGCGCUUCAGUAGAUCUCCGUUCCAUGCUCGCGGUUCGUCUGUCUCCCUAUCGAUGUUGUAGAGUCUGUAUGCUCUGUUGUACAGCACCUUGGAGAUGAUGAAGGGUCCUUCCCAGGCAGGAGCCAACUUGUGAGGUCUUUGCCGAUCCACUCGGAGCACCAGGUCGCCUGCUUGGAAUGUGCGACUCCUGGCGUGUUGUGCGUGAAAACGCCGCAGAUCUUGUUGAUAAAUGGUUGAGCGAGUUAGUGCCAUCUCGCGCUCCUCCUCUAGAAGGUCCACUCCGUCUUGUCUUGCUUGUUCUGCUUCAGCUUCAGAGAAGAGUUCGACUCGUGGAGCAUUGUGAAGCAAGUCACUCGGAAGGACUGCUUGUGCUCCGUAAACGAGGAAGAACGGUGAUCACCCUGUAGAUCUGUUCGGGGUUGUGUGAAGACCCCAAAGAACUGAAGGUAGCUCGGUGACCCAUGCGCCAGCGGCAUGUCCCACCUCUCGCAGGAGUCGGGGCUUCAAACCUUGCAGAAUAAGUCCAUUCGCCCGCUCUGCUUGUCCGUUUGAUUGAGGAUGCACCACGGAUGCAAAAUCCACUCGGAUACCUUGGCUUGCACAGAAACCUUUGAAUCUGUCCGAGUCAAAGUUUGUCCCGUUGUCCGUGAUUAUGCUGUGAGGUACACCGAAUCUGGAGAUGAUGUCCCUGACAAACUUGAUGGUUGUUAGGGCGUCGAGCUUCUUGAUGGGCUCGGCUUCAAUCCAUUUUGUGAACUUGUCGACUGCCACCAACAGAUGUGUGUAUCCUCCUUGGCCUGUCCUGAAUGGACCGACUGUAUCUAAUCCCCAUACUGCAAACGGCCACACAAGAGGGAUUGUCUUCAACGCAGAUGUUGGCUUGUGGGACUUGUUGGAGUAGAACUAACAGCCUUCACAUUGGUCGACCAUAUCUUUAGCCAUUUCGUUUGCGUGCAGCCAGAAGAAACCAGCUCUGAAUGCUUUGGCGACGAUUGCUCUCGAAGAGGCGUGAUGACCGCAGGUUCCCGAGUGAAUUCUUCCAGGAUUAACUGUCCCUCCUCUGGGGAGAUGCAUCGUUGAAGAACGCAUGAAACGCUUUCCUCGUACAACUGGCCAUCAAUGACAGUGAACGACUUCGACCUGCGGACUAUCUGCCUGGCCUGGACUUCGUCUUCUGGUAAUUCCUGCCUCAGGAUAUAUGCAAUGAUCGGCACAGUCCAAUCGGGGAUGACAGCAAGAAUCUCCAUGAUCAGAUCAACAACAGUAGGUACAUCGACUUCAGUUGGAUCUGUCAAACUCUUUGGUUGUAUUGGUUCCUCUGUGAAAGGAUCUUCUUUGACUGAGGGAAGGUGGAGGUGCUCGAGGCAGACGUCACUCGGGACUGGUCUCCGAGUGGAUCCGAGUUUUGCCAACUCAUCAGCUGCUUGGUUCUUCAGUCGCGGAACAUGGUGGAGUUCUAGACCUUCAAACUUCUUCUCGAGCUUCCUCACUGCAUUGCAGUAUGUGGUCAUGGUGGGGUUCCUGACGUCCCACUCUUUCAUCACUUGAUUAACCACCAAAUCCGAAUCGCCAUAGACCAUCAGGCGACGGACGCCGAGUGCGAUGGCCAUGCACAGUCCAUAAAGGAGAGCUUCAUACUCUGCCUCAUUGUUGGAGGAAUCAAAGUGUAUCUGCAGCACAUAUUUGAGUUUGUCGCCCUUUGGCGAUACGAUCACAACGCCAGCGCCGGAGCCAUUCAACAUCUUGGACCCAUCGAAGAACAUUGUCCAAUGAGCCGAGUAGAUGUGGGUCGGUUGCUGUUGUUCUACCCAUUCUGCUAUGAAGUCAGCCAGGGCUUGAGACUUUAUAGCUUUCUUGGCUUCGAACUUGAUAUCGCAGUACAACAUCUCCAUUGCCCACUUCGCCACUCGGCCCGACGCGUCGCGAUUGUGGAGGAUUCCCGCCAACGGAGCAUCAGAAACGACAAACACCGAGUGGUCUUGGAAAUAAUGGGCCACCUUCUUCGCAAUCAUGUAAAUCCCGUAGAUAAGUUUUUGAUAGUGGGGAUACCUCUGCUUGGAAGGAGUCAGGACUUCGGAGACGUAAUACACUGGCUGCUGAACUUUGUAUGCUUUGCCUUCUUCUUCUCGUUCGACUGUAAGAACAGUGCUGACGACUUGAUUUGUAGCCGCGAUAUACAGAAGAAGGGGCUCUUUACUGAGCGGAGCAGUAAGAACCGGCUGGGUGGAAAGUAGGACUUUGAGGUCGUCGAAUGCGACUUGGGCUUCAUCUUUCCACUCGAAAGUAUCUGAUUUCUUCAUGAGUCGGUACAGAGGAAGUGCUUUCUCGCCGAGUCGACUGAUAAACCUGCUCAAACCGCUAGGCAACCUGUGAGUCGUUGAACAUCGUGUAUUCUGACCGGCCUCUCCAUGCGGACGAUGGUCCCGAUCUUUUCGGGGUUGACAUCGAUCCCUCGUUCGGAAACGAAGAAACCGAGUAACUUUCCGCUGGGAACGCCGAAUGAACACUUGGCGGGGUUGAGCUUGAUAUCGUACCUACGAAGGUUGGCGAAUGUUUCUGCCAAGUCGGUCAGCAGGUUGGAACCUUUGCGUGACUUGACUACGAUAUCAUCCAUAUAAGCCUCCAGAUUCCGACCGAUCUGGUCGAGGAGGCAUUUUUGGAUCAUGCGCAUAAAGGUAGCUCAUGCAUUCUUCAAACCGAAUGGCAUAGUGAUGUAGCAGAAGCACCCGAAUGGGGUGAUGAAGGCUGUUUUUAAUUCAUCGGGGCCAUACAGACGGAUCUGAUGAUAGCCCGAGUAGGCAUCAAGAAAUGACAAACGCUCGCAACCCGCAGUCGAAUCGACAAUUUGAUCGAUGCGGGGGAGCGGAAAAUGGUCUUUCGGGCAGACCUUAUUGAGAUGCUUGAAGUCGAUGCACAUUCUGAACGACUUGUCCUUCUUGGGCACCAUGACAACAUUGGCGAGCCACUCGGAGUGGUGAACCUCGCGAAUGAAGUUGGCUGCCAAAAGCUUGGCCACCUCUUCUGUGAUUCCCUUCCUCUUGUGCGCGGCGGACCGACGCAGGCGUUCUCGGACAGGCCGAGCGGUGGGAUCCACAUGCAGUCCGUGCUCAGCCAACUCCCUGGGUACACCUGGCAUGCCAGAGGGUUUCCAUGCAAAGAUGUCCCAGUUCUCACGGAGGAAUUGGGUGAGCUCGGCUUCCUAUUUAGGAUCGAGGGUGGUGGAGAUGUUCGUCGGGGCAGCAGUGUCGUCCGUCGGGUGGAUGCUGACCUUUUUCGUCUCUCCCGCCGACUGGAAUGCAGACUCCGGAGCUGGCUUCUUCGAAUGCAUCAAGUCAGCGGGGUCGACUGUUUUCUUGUACUCGUCAAGCUCGAGGACGGCCAUCUGCUGGUCGGCGAUUCUUGAUCCCUGCUGCAAACACUCUUCGGCCCGCUGUCGAUUGCCUGUGAUAGUGAUCACACCUUUCGGGCCUGGCAUCUUCAGCUUCAGGUAUACGUAACAUGGACGGGCCAUGAAACGCGCAUACGCCGGGCGGCCCAGAAUUGUGUGGUAAGCGCUCUGGAAGUCCACCACCUCGAACGUCAGCUUUUCCUUGCGGAAGUUCUUGUUGGAGCCGAAAACGACGUCCAACGCGAUCUGGCCGAGUGACUUGGCCUUCCAUCCAGGGACGACUCCAUGGAACUGCAUGCUUCUCUCACUGAGUUUGGACAUCGGAAUGCCCAUCCCCUUGAGAGUGUCGGCGUACAUGAUGUUCAAGCCACUGACACCGUCCAUGAGGACUUUGCGCAGUCAAACUCCUUCCACCACCGGGUCGACGACCAGAGCCUGUCUCCCUGGGGUGGGUACGUGUGCCGGAUGAUCCGACUGGUCAAAGGUGAUCGCAGUCUGAGACCAUUUGAGGAACUUGGGUUGGUAGGGGUGGCCAUGUUCACCUCCCUGUUCACCAGCUUCAGUCGACUCUUGCUCUCAACGUCAGCAAAAGUCAUCAGUGUUGCAUGGACUUGGGGGAACGGACCCUCCUUAUCCUCCUCGUCCUGUUCAUUGUCCUUUUCACUCGGUUGCCCUUCGCCGAACCCCUGGAUCAGGAGGCGACACUGUCGAGUGGUAUGCUUCGGAUAUAUGGGGUUGCCCUCUUCAUCCAUCUUCGUAUGAAUCGGACACGGCUGGUCCAGGAUGGGAUUAUUGAACUGCUUCUUCUUGGGGGUGAACUGAGCCUUCCCUUUGCCCUUGAACUUGGCGUUGCUUACAGCUGCAGCCUCUGCCUGCGGAGUGGACGGAGCUUUCUGCUUCUGCUUCCGAGUGUUGCUCCCAUCUCCAUCGGCGACUGUUUUGUGCUUGCCGCUUCGGAUGCGGUCCUCUUCUUCGCCAUUUGCAUAGCGUGCCGCUAUCUCCAUCAUCUUGCUCAUGGAGAUGUCGCCUGUUCGGCCAAACUUCAGGUACAGAUCCCUGUACCGCACGCCUACCUUGAAAGUGCAGAUUGCUUGAUGCUCUGUGACGUUCUCCACCGUGUGGUAGAGGGUUGUCCAACGCUGAAUGAAAUCACGCAGGGGCUCAUUCUCCUUCUGGACGCAAUGCUGGAGCUCCACGAGGCCAGCAGGGCGCUUGCACGUCCCUUCGAAGGUCCUGAUGAACACUCGGGCCAGGUCUGCCUAGCUGUAGAUGCUUGAGGGGGCCAACUGGUUCAGCCACGCUCGCGCCGAGCCGUCGAGCAUCAGAGGGAGGUGCUUCAUGGCGACAUGGUCGUCCCCUCCUCCGAUCUGGACUGCCACUCGGUAAUCAUCCAGCCACGUUUCUGGCUUGGACUCUCCUGUAAACUUGCUGAUUCCCGUUGCCAGUCGGAAGUUGGGAGGGAUGUCAGCCGAACGGAUGGCUCGACUGAAACACUCGGGACCAGAAACGAUGGUCCUGCUUCCACUCGGACGGUCAAUAUCGUAACCAUCGCGGUGGGCUCGGCCCCUGUCGACCCUCCGCUGGGCGAUAUGCCCUCUUGCGUCGGGUCUUGGGUCGUAAGUGUCACCGACUGAACGCCGAUCAUCAUGAUGUCGGGGCCCGUACGGCCCACCCCGCGGAGGGGUGCGUGAACGGCGACGAUCUUCGGGGUUUAUGGAACGGCUGUCUCCCCUGUGUCGCCGAUGAGAACCAGGGCUGUGAACUGACCGAUGCGUAUUCGCAUGAACAGAACUAUUGUGGAUCCUGUUGUGCGACUGAGAGACCGCCGAAUUUUGCUGUUGCGUCGUGUGCAACAGGGCACGGAUUUGCUCGAUCCCCCUGCCAGCCUCUGAAUCAGUCGGCUGAAGGGAAUUGGCAAUCUUGGCAGCCGCAGCCAAGUUGAGGAUGGGUGUGCGGAACGACUCCACAUUGCUCCGCCGAGUGUGCCGGCUGGCAGAACGGCGAGGCGGACGACGCGCGCCGGAUGUUUCGCCGAUCUCGUGCUCGUUCCGGCCAGCUUGACGGGGAUCUUCAUGGGAGUUGGCCAUGUGUACUUCUGCUGCAGGCCCGCGACCCGCGUACUCGGAAGGAAACUCAGUCGGAACCGAGUCCGAGCGCUGGGACGGAGGGGCAACCACAACCGACUCUAGGACCGCCACUUGUGAAGACGCGUUCUGGCGUGCCUGGGCGUGUCGCACCCAACGCUGGAGCCGCGGACGGCGGGACCGCUUGUUGCGGCGCGUGACGGCGGUGUAGGUCGACACCGGAGCCGACUGUUGGAGAAGAAGAAGAACGCCGCAGGCGCCGGCACGGAAGUGCGUAGCCCCGUGGCGGGAAAGCGCCUCGAUAUCGAGAGGAGCAUCCCGAAGCCAUGCUGAAUCGUCGAUGAUGAAGGAGAGAGCGCCGAAGAGGAUCUCGUGACCCAUGCUCGAAUCUCCACCGGACGACAUGACGAAACGAUGUAGUCGCAAACUCGCCGGAAGUCGCGUAGACGCCUGCCCCACGGUGGGCGCCAACUGUCGUGGGUAUAAGCCUGACAGUAUAUGUGUAGGGUACGAAAGGAUGGGCAGAGCCUUAGCUACGGCGAGGUUGUAUGAGUUCAGGCCCCUCUGCGGUGGAGGUAAUAGCCCUAUGUCUCAGUGCUCUGGGAGCUUGUUGUCGAGUGGAAUAUAGAAUACAGUGAAUUGCUAACCCCUGCACCAGUGGGGGAGGGUGGCUUAUAUAGAGUGCGCUGCCCUCCACAACGGUUCGGUGCACAGGGGUGGAGUAGUGGCGAAUAAAUGCCUACGUUACAGGUAACGUACGUCUUAAAUGCUAAUAAAGGCACGGGGAAACGUAUGACCGUUUCCCUCCAGGGGGGUUACGAUGCUCGGAGUGGAGUCCAGUCGGUUAGUUUGAUACGCUCCGAAUGCUAGUCUCCGACUGGAUGGUCGAAGACCUGUUACCGACUGGAUGAUGGCAACUCCUUAGUUCAGUCGGAACUGACUAAGGGCCUUGUCCCUUAUGAGGGGUAGUCCUUGGGUAGGACCUAUAGGGCAGGCCUAUGACCCUACCCUAGGACUAUAACCCCAUCAAAGAGAAAGUAAGGUACAGUGCUUUGGCAUUCUCUCUGUUCACAACGCUGAUCCCUCGAUCGUCUGAUCGAACGGGCUCAUAAACAUACAAUUAGUCUCCACUGAAUAUCCUGGUUUCAUGUUGUAUCGACGUGCUUGAUUAGGAACCUUAAUUAUUAGGCUAGACUAGUGCUACGUGUAUUUCUUAGUCAGUCAGUGACCUGAUUAAUCUAAACAUUUGGUGCAUGCAUAUGGUUGGCCAAAACCUAGGACUCUGAACGUCAGAGUACACACUACACGACUAGGACAUGUGGUUUACUUAGUAGACCAGUACUGCAUGCAUCAUUAUCUUUUGCUGUUUAAUUUGGCAGAAAUCACAGAAGCUUAUUUCAAUGGCGCAUGCAAAAAUCCAACGAAACGAUUGAAAACUUGAGUUGCGAGCUGAACGCUCAAUAAUAGAACGAUUUUCCUAUACGCUGCAACUAGCUUGGCUUAUUUCUAAAAAACAUUAUGUUCAUAUUCAGCCCCCAUUGAAAAUUGCCACUGUCCUAUAUUGUUGUCCAUGUAUUACAAUAUAACCGAUUAUUAGCUCAGAGUAGGCAGACCAAAUGGUUAUUAGCUCGAGGCACAAGCAAUCAUUCAGUAUGACAACCUAUCACAUGGUGUCAUCAUACUCUUGGCCGAUGACAAGAAGCAGGUCGAGGACCAGGACCAUCUUACCUUAAAGGAGCAGAGCAGGUCGAGAACGAAGAGGAGCAUCGACACUCUUCGUCGCUGAGGCUAAGCAAGCCCUUUCAUCUCUCCUCCUCGAGAAGGACAAGGCUACCAUAGUCGUUAUAAUACAUGGCUGCAAAGAAGAAGCAGAGUCAAAAUAAAAUGUUAUGACAAAUGAUAAAGAGGUAUUAAUUAAGUACAAACAAUAAAAACUCACAUGUCACAACAAUCAUACUACAAUCACACCUCAAAACUCACAAUAUUGUGAGUGGCCUAUUCUUCCCAGAUCCUGGCUUGUUUGCUGCAAGCACCUCUCCACCAACAUAUAACAACAGAGUUAAUAAAACUAUGUGUGAAGGAAUAAAGUCAAACAUUUUGAACGGAAGGUGUCAAGCAACUGCGGAUGCAUUAGUUACCUCGCGCAUUUUCUGCACUUCAUCAGGAAUACUGCAGUUUGCGGCAGAUUUGUCGAACAUUUCAAGUAUCCUGAAGGCUCGAUUCCUCGCAUCGUUCAUAUCUGAAGCAGACAAUAUCUCCUUGACAAUUAGCUCCGCCCAUUCAGUGUUGUUGGUUGGAGCAUUCAUCACCGGAACAUCACAUGCCACUGCGAUUAACAAUCAUUCUAGUGUUAGACAAUAUGCACACUGUAAGAUUCUUGUUUUGAGAAACUGCAUAUUGUAAGAUUAGUGUUGGUCUACAUAAGUUAUACAUCUUCGGACAUCAUUAUCAGAUAACAAGAGGAACAAGUAGUCAGGCUUAUUUUUCAGUCAUGCCAGCCAUACCUCCAGACGAGGAGGUACCAGCAUUGGUCGUUGCUGAAUCCGAUGCCAAAUAACCCUUGAAGCUUCUGAUGGCAGCAUCCAAGACAUUUCCCGACGCUUCGAGAUAGCCUCACAGAAGCUAAAAAUGCCCCCAAAAUUACUCAUCAGAAUGGUACGGAGCAAUACGGUACACAAGGAUCAGGGCCCUCAAGUCUACUGUUGUGACAUAACAUAAACCAAAGCUAUAUCAGGAUUUCAGAAAACCAUGGUAGAACUUCUGUGCACAAGAGAAACGGAUGUACGUACAUGCUAUUUGUUCUGACAUGUUUAGUUGAGACAUUUUAUUUCUGAAAUCCUAAAUUUAGCCAUCAUACACGCAUAGACAGGAAUCAUCCUCAUGGGAAGCGUUUGGCUCGCGCAAGAGGGGAAUAGUUGUGGACGAUUCUUCUGAACUUUUGAUUUACAAUUCCAUUAAUCUCUAAACUCUAGUCUAGUCUAAUUCAAGAAAUGGGAUAUGAAUCGGCAAAAGAAAAGAAAAAGGAAAUUCCCUGAUUUGUUGAAUUGUAAACCUUUUCAGCGAGUGAUGAUGAUAAACAAAACCAUUUUGCUGAAUCGUAAAAACAGGCAGUGAUGCUUAUCAGGUUGGUAACUUCCCACUGAUGAUGAUAAUAAGAUGGUAACAGUAAUUAGACACUGCAUCACAGCACAAACGAGGAAUCUUACUACCACAUAUCACAGGCUAAUUAUAAGAAACUAGCACAUCUCUACACCUUCAGAUCAAAAACUAGGAAUAGCCCCCCUAUCACCACGGAUGGCACAAAGGUGUGUCCCUGAAGAGGCCGACGAGGCAGGCCCCGGCGCCCUCCUGUAGCACGAAGACGGCAGAGCUCUGAAUAAUGCGGUUUUCACAGCAAAGUUGUGCAUUAAUUAAAGAGAAUAGAAUCAUAUAACCUUGGAACAAUAAGAAACGCAACGGCGGCAGUUGAGUUGAUGUUUGCUAGGUAUACUUCAGGAGUCAUCACUCAUCAACCAUAUCAUGGAGGGCUGAUUUGAAUGGUUAGUAGAGUAGUUUAGUCAAAACAAAAUUUCUGGAUGCACUCUCAUUAGAAAUGCAACAACCAAGUUACUCAACAAAAAGGAAUGAAUACUAAACUUCUGAUAAUUUCGACAAAUGCAAUGGUUCAGAAUAAGAGUAAGACAUACUGUGGGGCUCUAUGUCAAGAAGCCAGUGACCUACAGAUUUCAGAAACUUCCAUUGUUGCACUACCUAGCAAACAUCACGGAGGCAAGCCUACUAAUCAUGAGGUGGACCAAACUGAAAACUGAAAAUCCUAUCAAGUGCAUGGAUCACGCUAAGAAACUGUUGGUAGAUUUUUCAGAUUUACAAACACGUAGCUAAACAAGGGUAACAUCAUGGAGCACAAAAUUAAGAUCAGAUAUCAAACUUUCACAUGACUGAUGGUAACAAGACGGUAAUAAGGUCUCCCACACCAAACAUCCUUGAUAAACAGGAACAUCAACAAGCCCCAAACUGAAACUACUUCCAAAAGAAAUACCCAUCUAAUUCAGAUUCCUUAAAGGGAGGAACACCAGAACAUCAGUCGAUUUAGAGACGGCUCAGCUUAGAUCAUAUGUAGCACAAUAAUAUAUAUCUAAAAAAAGCGAGCAACCACAUUUUGUUUUCGUUCUAGAUUCAUUAGUACAGCCAACUACACCACAUAGCACGUAGCACUGUAGGAACCACAAGUCUGACCAAACUGAAUAUGAAUAGAAGGGCAUGGCAGGCAGCAGAUAAAUCUGAAACCACAUGUGUGCAUGAUAAAGUAAAAGACUGAUGAAAAGGAUUGCAUGCAUGAUUAACUAAACCACAAGUCACUGCAGGUCGUUGGCCCGGCAUGAGGUUCGGCGUUCGACUUUCCUGACAGAGAGCUGCUAUUGUACCCAUGGACAUGGAAUACUCCUCGUGCUGCUAAAUAACAAGAAGGUCUCAUCGCGUCCUGAAGCAGCACAUCACAACGAGUGUGGGGGAGGAAGGUCCAUGGCAUCCUCCUCCGAGGGCGACCUUGAUCUGUUGGAUUUGGGAGGGAGAGGAGAGGUGAGGAAGAACCUACUACAGAGAGAGGGGGAGGGAGGGAUGAUGGUGGUCAUACGAGAUCAGGUGUCAUCAUGUAUGGGCUCCUCCUAUGCUGCGUGCAAGGUCGACAUGGCACCGGGCUUGUCCUCCAUGGCGUCCUCCUUGACCACACGGGACAGGAUGCAAACAAGCAAACAAACAAAAAUGCACAAAACAAUCAGAUUUGAUCCAAAGUAGAAGCAAUCGAGGAGGACGAGCAAGGGAUGAUCCAUAACAGAUCGAUUCUGGUCGCCAUGGCUGGGAUCCUCCUACGCUUGUGCGGGCUAGGGUUUCAGUAUGUGCUGCUGGAAAGAAGGAUAGGGUGGGUCUUGGGGAGAGCAGGUCGGCACCGAUGCCGUGGCCGGCGGGAGGGAUGGGGGAGAGGAGAUCUACGACAGGGUUGGGUUGGGUUGCGGGAGGGGUGGGGGAGAGGAGAUCGGCGGCGGGGUUGGGUUGGGUUGCGGGAGGGAGGUGGAAGACACACAGGAGAGAGACUCGAGUUGGUAGGAGAGGGAGGAGGGUGUGUCAUGCGCUAGGUUUAUCGAGGAGAGGUGAUGAGACGUUGGAUCUGUAGGACAUGGACGGCUCAGAUCGCCUUUACUAGGGUGAUCUGUGGGCUCUAUUCUGAUUGGUUAGACAUGUGCCUUUAUAAACUUGUUUUUUAAGUGUUAAAAACAGAGGAGAUAUAUGAAGCAACUAUCAAAAACAUUUUGCAAAACGGCACCAUUAAUUUUUAGGUGCAUCUUGGAAUGGAAAACAAUGUUGCCUAAGAACGUUUUCAUUUUCAUUGGACGAAAAAGUCAUUUUCCAAUUUUUGACUGUCCAGAAUAAGUUUUUUUGUGAAGGGCCUAUCAUAUAUUUGUUGCAAAAUUGGAUCAAAUCAUUUUUAUAAAAUACUAGGUCAUAUUUAAUGCACAAUUGACCAAAUGAUUGGGUGUCAAAAGCUUUUAUCCACCUCUCGUGAAAAAGACAAAUUUCCGCCGAUUUAACUUGAAGCGAGUCAAAUUUGAACCGCAACUGUCUUAUAGUUUACUCUUUAUUUUUUCCAAAAAUAUUCUCUAGGUACAAAAGUAUCUAUUUAAUCAGAUAAACACCAAAAAAAUUCCAAGAUUCAACCACUAGAUAGGAACGGUCAUACCCGCUGUUUUGACCGUAUUUUGAAACACGCAUGAAAAAUUCAAAACCAAAUCAAAAAAUUGAAAAACCUUCGCAUUGUGCCAUUAAAUAUAACCAAGUUAUGAGGAAAAAUAAUAAACUUGUAAUACGAUAAUUAUUUAAAAAAAUGUUCUGAGAAAUGAGCUAUCAUGUGUGAAGACCACAAACCAGCCCAUUAGCAAGCAUGGAGGAUAAAAUACCAACCCAAUAUAAAAGUAAGAUGAAAAAAUAGCCCAACAGAAAGUGGUAUAAAAAACAGUUCAAUACAUGGAUGAGGUGGGAUAGAAUGAACCCACGAGUGACAUAUCAACAUAGUUAAAACAUGUAACGACAUUUUUAUAAUCGUCAUAAAAGUUAUGAUGAUCUCAUCUUAUGCGGUUACGACGUUUUUGACUCACAUCGUUGUAAUUUGUAUGUAGAUUUGAUCCCCUCAAAAGGUUUACGGCGAUCUCGGAUGAAAUCGUCAUAGAUAUAUGACGAAUUCAUCAACGACAUCUUAAAAAACGUCAUGUAUGAGCAUAUUUCUUGUAGAGGGAGGCAGCCCCACGCCUUAGGGUUUUAGCCCUAGGCGCAUUGGGCCCUUUUGGUGGCUCGCACCAGCCAACGAAGGAGCUGGUUCCCUCCCACUUUCGUCCCAUGUGGUCCUCCCGGGACAGGUGGACCCUCCGGUGGACCCCUGGUACCCUUUCGGUGGUCCCGGUACAAUACCGAUAAACCUCGAAACCUUUCCGGUGACCAAAACUGGACUUCUCAUAUAUAAAUCUUUACCUCUGGACUAUUUUGGAACUCCUCGUGACGUCCGGGAUCUCAUACGGGACUCCAAAAAACUUUUCGUAACCACAUAUACAAUUCCCAUUACAACUCUAGCGCCACCGAACCUUAAGUGUGUAGACCCUAUGGGUUCGGGGUUUGUGAAGUUGGUACUCAACAUGUAACCCCUAUUCCCUAUGUUAGGUUGUUUGUUAGGCCAUUAGGUAAAGUGUCGGAUCAAUUUCCCCAUUGCUCACUCAUACGUCUCCAACGUAUCUAUAAUUUUUGAUGGUUUCAUGUUAUUAUAUUGUCAAACUUUGGAUGUUUUGCGUGCCUUUUAUUUAUUUUUUGGGACUAACUUAUUAACUCAGCGCCAAGUGCCAAUUCCUGCUUUUUUCCAUGUUUUUCACCCCUUUCAGAGGAGAUUUUGAAACGGAAGAAAAUCCCCGAAAAGAUUUUUUUUGGAACGGAAGAAGAUUAGAGAACUUGGGAGGCAAGGCAGGGGAGCCCCAGGGGCCCCACAAGCCCCCACCCCGCGGCCAGGGGUGGUGCGCCAUCCAGGCUUGUGGGCCCCCUGGAGGACUAUAUAAUCCCAAAAAUUCCAGAAAAAAUCAGGAGAUCAUCGAAAGUACUUUUCCGCCGCCGCAAGCUUCUGUCUCCGCAGGAUCCCAUCUGGGGCGCGUUCUGGUGCCCUGCCGGAGGGGGGAUUCGGACACGGAGGGCUUCUUCAUCAACACCAUGACAUCUCCGAUGAUGCGUGAGUAGUUCACCAUAGACCUACGGGUCCAUAGCUAGUAACUAGAUGGCUUCUUCUCUCUCUUGGAUCUUCAAUACAAAGUUCUCCAUGAUCUUCAUGGAGAUCUAUCCGAUGUAAUCUUAUUUUGCGGUGUGUUUGUCGAGAUCCGAUGAAUUGUGGAUUUAUGAUCAGAUUAUCUAUGAAUCUUAUUUGAGUUUCUUCUGAUCUCUCUUAUGCAUGAUUUCAUAUCCUUGUAAUUCUCUUCGAGUUGCGGGUUUUGUCUGGCCAACUAGAUCUAUGAUUCUUGCAAUGGGAGAAGUGCUUGGUUUUGGGUUCAUACCGUGCGGUGACCUCACCCAGUGAUAGAAGGGGUAGCGAGGCACGUAUCGUGUUGUUGCCAUCAAGGGUAAAAAGAUGGGGUUUUCAUCAUUGGUUUGAGAUUAUCCCUCUACAUCAUGUCAUCUUGCUUAANNNNNNNNNNNNNNNUCUCCGAUGAUGCGUGAGUAGUUCACCAUAGACCUACGGGUCCAUAGCUAGUAACUAGAUGGCUUCUUCUCUCUCUUGGAUCUUCAAUACAAAGUUCUCCAUGAUCUUCAUGGAGAUCUAUCCGAUGUAAUCUUCUUUUGCGGUGUGUUUGUUGAGAUCCGAUGAAUUGUGGAUUUAUGAUCAUAUUAUCUAUGAAUCUUAUUUGAGUUUCUUCUGAUCUCUCUUAUGCAUGAUUUCAUAUCCUUGUAAUUCUCUUCGAGUUGUGGGUUUUGUCUGGCCAACUAGAUCUAUGAUUCUUGCAAUGGGAGAAGUGCUUGGUUUUGGGUUCAUACCAUGUGGUGACCUCACCCAGUAACAGAAGGGGUAGCGAGGCANNNNNNNNNNNNNNNNNNNNNNNNNNNNNNNNNNNNNNNNNNNNNNNNNNNNNNNNNNNNNNNNNNNNNNNNNNNNNNNNNNNNNNNNNNNNNNNNNNNNNNNNNNNNNNNNNNNNNNNNNNNNNNNNNNNNNNNNNNNNNNNNNNNNNNNNNNNNNNNNNNNNNNNNNNNNNNNNNNNNNNNNNNNNNNNNNNNNNNNNNNNNNNNNNNNNNCUUACACUUUUUACUUCGUUGCACUUUCCGCCUUCAGAUCUCACUUUGCAAACAAUCUUGAAGGGAUUGACAACCCCUUUGAAGCGUUGGGUGCAAGCUUGUUUGUGUUUGCGCAGGUACUUUGGACUUGACGAGGCCCUCCUUCUGGUUCGAUACCUUGGUUCUCAAACUGAGGGAAAUACUUACUGCUCCUGUGCUGCAUCACCCUUUCCUCUUCAAGGGAAAAACCGACGCAAACCAGAGAAGUAACAAGAAGAAUUCCUACGCGCCAGGGAAGGACUUUUGUUGCCGCAGCAGAAGAAUUUCUGGCUCCGUUGCCGGGGAGGAAGGUCAAGUCAAGGACUCAUCCAAGUAGGUGUCGCAAACUCAUCUCUUGCAUUUACUUUGUUUGCCAGUUGCCUCUCAUUUUCCUCUCCCCCACUUCACCAAAUUGCCUUUUUCGUUUGCCUUUCCUUUCCUUGUGUGCUAUGUUCCUUCAAAAUGCUUGCAUCUUUGCUUGCUAAGAAUCUAGUGAUAUGGAUGCUCAUCCACUUGCUAAUCUUUUCAAGAGGUCCAACUAUGUUGAACAAAUUGCUAGUGAGUUUUGUGCACUAGAUUAUCUUUAUGGAGUUUUGCUUGACAUGCGUGAAUCUGAAAAUUGUGAUGAGGAAAUUUAUGAAGUGAUUCACGAGGGCUCCUUGGAUGAAAAGCAUGAUUACAAUGGUUUCACUAUAAAUUCUAUUAGUGACAAUCAUGCUAAAAAUAUGCAAAACCCUAAGCUUGGGGAUGCUAGUUUUGCUAUGUCCUCUAUUGGUUGCAAUGAUCAUGAUUGGGGUGAUGAUCUUUCUUAUGAUCUUGAAAAUUUGUUUAAGCCUCUUGAUGAAUAUGAUGUUUGCAAUAUUAUUGAAAGUGGGUUUGGAGACGUCAUGACUUUAGUUGAUGAUAAUCCCACUAUUUUUGAAGAGCGUCAACUUUGCAUGCAUGUGGAUCAUGAAAAGAAUAUCCUACAUGAUAGUUACAUUGUUGAAUUUGAUUAUGAUCCCACAUGUGUUUGCUAUGAGAGAGGAAAAUAUUUUGCUAGAAACUUUCAUGUUACCAAAUUACCUCUCGUUAUGUUGAGAUUGCUAUUGUCUCUUUCUUCUUCCUUGCAUUUGGUAACUAUUGGUUGUCUUGCCAAUUUGUUUUCCUAUAAAAUGCCUAUGCAUAGGAAGUAUGUUAUACUUAGAUGUGAUUUUCACAUGCUUUAUGAUGCUCUCGUUGUUCUUCAACUCUUGUCUUUUGUGUGAGCAUCAUUGAUGCCUAGCUAAGGGCGUUAAACAAUAGCGCUUGUUGGGAGGCAACCCAGUGAAUUUAUCUUUUUCUUUCUGUUUUGUUGCGUCCACACUUUCAUAAUUCUGUUGUGAUUGUGUUUUUUGUGUUUCUUUUUGUGUUUGAGCCAAGCAAAACCUUUAUGACUAGUCUCGAUAAUGGUUGUUUGAUCCUGCUGGAAAAAGACAGAAACUUUUCGCUCACGAGAUGAUUUUUCAUUUUUAUUCAGAAAUAGAUUUUGAGUUGAUUCUUUUUGCUGCGGAUAUAUAUGCUUUUUUCCCAGGCCGUCGUAAAUUUUUCAGAUUUUUUGAGGUACCAGAAGUAUAUGAAGUAUACAGAUUGCUACAGACUUGUCUGUUUUUGACAAAUUAUGUUUUUGUUGAGUUGGUUGCUUGUUUUGAUGAAACUAUGGUUAGUAUCGGGGGGUACUAGCCACGGAAAAGUGAGAAUACAGUAGCCCAUCAUCAAUAUAGAUGGAAUUCAAGUUUGCUACAGUACCAAAAGAAGUGGUAGUUUGUUUUCUUGUACUAAUGUUAUCACAAGUUUCUGUUUAAGUUUUGUGUUGUGAAGUUUUCAAGUUUUGGGUGAUGUUCUCAUGGACAAAGAGAUAAGGAGUGGAAAGAGCUCAAGCUUGGGGAUGCCCAAGUCAUCCCAAGCCAAAUUCAAGGACACCAAAAAGCCUAAGCUUGGGGAUGCCCCGGGAAGGCCUCCCCUCUUUCGUCUUCAAUCCAUCGGUAACAUUACUUGGAGCUAUAUUCUUAUUCACCACAUGAUAUGUGUUUUGCUUGGAGCGUCUUGUAUCAUAGGAGUCUUUUCUUUUUGUUGUGUCACAAUCAUCCUUGUUGCACACCUUCUUGAGAGAGAGAGACAUGCACUCAUCGUGAUCUUGCUAGAAUGCUCUAGUGCUUCACUUAUAUCUUUUGAGCUAGAUACUUUUGCUCUAGUGCUUCACUUAUAUCUCUUGAGCUAGAUACUUUUGCUCUAGUGCUUCACUUAUAUCUUUUGAGAUAGAUACUUUUGCUCUUGUGCUUCACUUAUAUCUUUAGAGCACGGCGGUGCGUGAUUUGGUAGUUGGCUUAUGCUAUGGAAGUAGUCCCAAUUGUGCUAGGUACCCAAAGAGGAUGCAAAACCCUCCAUCUUCAUGUGCAUUGGGUAGAAAGAGAAGUUUCGAUUCCUAUCAAUUAGUUUUGAGACAUGGAUUCGGUAAUAUUAAGAGUUAUGUUAGUAGGGUGUUGUGAAUCUAGAGAUACUUGUGUUCGAGUUAGUGAUUCCCGUAGCAUGCACGUAUGGUGAACCGCUAUGUUAGGAAGUCGGAGCAUAAUUGAUCUAUUGAUUGUCAUCCUUUGUGUUGAGGUCGGGAUCGCGCGAUGGUUUACACCUACCAACCCUUCCCCUCGGAGUAUGCGUUUAGCACUUUGUUUCGAUUACUAAUAAAAACUUUCGCAACAAGUAUGUGAGUUCUUCAUGACUAAUGUGAGUCCAUGGUAUAUAUGCACUUUCACCUUCCACCUUUGCUAGCCUCUCUAGUGCCGCACAAUUCUCGCCGGUGCACAAGCCCACCAAAUUCCUUCCUCAAAACAGCCACCAUAUCUACCUACUAUGGCAUUUUCAUAGCCAUUCCGAGAUAUAUUGCCAUGCAACUACCACCGUUUCGUCUCAUGACUUAUGCUGUCACUCUCAUAUUGCCAUUGCAUGAUCAUAAGAUAGCUAGCAAGAUGUUUCAACGUCAUACGCCAUGCUAGAUCGUUGCACAUCCCGGUACACUACCGGAGGCAUUUCCUAUAGAGUCAUCACCAUUUUGAGCUGUGAGUAAAUAAAGGUGUGAUGAUCAUCCUUAUUAGAGCAUUUUCCCAUGUGAGGAAAUAAAAAAAAAGAGCCCAAAGAGCCCAAAAACAAAAAAAGGGAGAAAAGAAGAGAAAAAAAAGGGAGGCCUAAGAGCCCAAAUGAAAAAAAGAGAAAAAAGAGAAAAAAGAGAGAAGGGACAAUGCUACUAUCUUUUUCCACACUUGUGCUUCAUGUUAGCACCAUGUUCUUCAUGAUUGAGAGCUUCUUGCUUUGUCACUACCAUAUGCUAGUGUGAAUCUUCAUUUUAUAACUUGGCUUGUAUGUUCCAAUGAUGGGCUUCCUCAAAAUUUCCCUAGGUCUUCGUGAGCAAGCAAGUUGGAUGCACACCCACUAGUUUUCCUUUUGAGCUUUCACAUACUUAUAGCUCUAGUGCAUCUAUUGUAUGGCAAUCCCUACUCAUUCACAUUGAUAUCUAUUAAUCGGCAUCUCCAUAGCCUAUUGAUAUGCCGAGUCAGUGUGACCAUCUCCUCCUUUUUUGUCUCACAACCACCACCACACUCUAUUCCACCUAUAGUGUUAUAUCCAUGGCUCGCGCUCAUGUAUUGCGUGAUAGUUAUAAAAAGAUUGAGAAAGUAAGAGUGCGAAAACAAUUACUUGGCCAAUUCCGAGGUUGUUCAUGAUUUACAUUAGUUGUGUGAGGAUGAUGGAGCAUAGCCAGACUAUAUGAUUUUGUAGGGAUAACUUUCUUUGGCCUUGUCAUUUUGAAAGUUCAUGAUUACUUUGCUAGUUUGCUUGAAGUAUUACUGUUUUCAUGUCAAUAACAAACUAUUGUUUUGAAUCGUACGGAUCUGAACAUUCAUGUCACGUGAAAGAAGUCGCAGAGGACAACUAUGCUAGGUAGCAUUCCACAUCAAAAAUUCAUUCUUUGUCACUUCCCUACUCGAGGACGAGCAGGAGUUAAGCUUGGGGAUGCUUGAUACGUCUCCAACGUAUCUAUAAUUUUUGAUGGUUUCAUGCUAUUAUCUUGUCAAACUUUGGAUGUUUUGCAUGCCUUUUAUUUAUUUUUUGGGACUAACUUAUUAACUAAGUGCCAAGUGCGAGUUCCAGUUUUUUCCAUGUUUUUGACCCCUUUCAGAGGAGAUUUUGAAACGGAGUCCAAACGAAGGAAAAUCCCCGAAAAGAUUUUUUUGGAAUGGAAGAAGAUCGGAGAACUUGGGAGGCAAGGCAGGGGAGCCCCAGGGGCCCCACAAGCCCCCACCCCGCGGCUAGGGGGCGCCAUCCAAGCUUGUGGGCCCCCUAGAGCUCCCCUGACCUAGGUCUUUCGCCUAUAUAAUCCCAAAAAUUCCAGAAAAAAUCAGGAGAUCAUCGAAAGUACUUUUCCGCCGCCGCAAGCUUCUGUCUCCGCAAGAUCCCAUCUGGGGCACGUUCUGGUGCCCUGUCGGAGAGGGGAUUCGGACACGGUGGGCUUCUUCAUCAACACCAUGACCUCUCCGAUGAUGCGUGAGNNNNNNNNNNNNNNNNNNNNNNNNNNNNNNNNNNNNNNNNNNNNNNNNNNNNNNNNNNNNNNNNNNNNNNNNNNNNNNNNNNNNNNNNNNNNNNNNNNNNNNNNNNNNNNNNNNNNNNNNNNNNNNNNNNNNNNNNNNNNNNNNNNNNNNNNNNNNNNNNNNNNNNNNNNNNNNNNNNNNNNNNNNNNNNNNNNNNNNNNNNNNNNNNNNNNNNNNNNNNNNNNNNNNNNNNNNNNNNNNNNNNNNNNNNNNNNNNNNNNNNNNNNNNNNNNNNNNNNNNNNNNNNNNNNNNNNNNNNNNNNNNNNNNNNNNNNNNNNNNNNNNNNNNNNAACCAGAGAAGUAACAAGUAGAAUUCCUACGCGUCAGGGAAGGACUUUUGUUGCCGCGGCACUCACCACACCAUCGAUUUUGCCUAGGUAAUUAUGAAAGAAGAGAAGAAGAUGGUAGUUUUGCCUAUGGUUCAGGCAUGGCUCAUGUUGAUCCAUAAAAGAGAUGUUCGUCCUGGUGACAAGCAUGUCAUCCGUUAUGCUCCAAUGCUAGCUCGGGAUAAGGAGAGGAUAACGAAUCUAAACCACAUCUACAACAACAAUGACACAUAGGUUGUGUGGAUGCUAAGAAUGAUAAGAGCAUCUUUCACCAGGCUUGUGCAAAUCUUUAGAUUAGGGGCUGCUAUAAUAUAGCAUCCACACUGGUGUGGAAGAGCAAGUUGCUACGUUCCUCCAUGUUAUCGAACAUAGCCGGAGGUUUAGGAUUAUCCACAACACGACCAGGAGAUCAAUGGAUACCGUUUUCACGUACUUUAGGCAAGUGACGUAUGUUGUUGGGGAACUCAGAGAAAAUAUGACCAGGUCACCAACCGACCGGACUCCUAGUAAGAUACGCACUAGCCCAAGAUGGUAUCCAUAUUUCAUGGUGAGCACCGACAGUAUGUAGUUCAUUCCUGGACAUGCUUGUAUUGUUCUACUAUAUCGAUUACACCAUCUCUUCAUGCCAUUUUAGGAUUGCAUUGGGGCAAUAGAUGGUACUCAUCUCACUACUUGAGUUCGGUGUUAUAAUCUGCAACAUACAUGAGGAGAAAGCACCACACAAGCCAGAAUGUUCUUGUUGUUGUUGACUUUGAUCUGAAGUUUACAUAAUUGCUAGAUGGAUAGGAAGGAUCCGCACAUGCUGGUAACAUUCCAGCUGACAACAUGAGUACACCUGAUGACAUAAAUAUCCCCGAUGGAAUGUUCUACCUGGAAGAUACUAGCUAUGCAUGCCAGCCAGGUGUUCUUCCAUUCAGAAAAAUCAGGUACCAUCUAAACGAGUUCGCCGGUAGAAACUAUCCUAGGUCUCCACAAGAACUAUUUUAUCUUAGACGCUAUAGCCUUAGAGUUAUGGUUGAGUGGGCAUUUGGAGCUAUGAGGAAUAUUCUUAAGAUCCUGAAUCAAAAGUCAUUCCACACUUUUCCCAAACAUGUUAAGCUUAUUCUUACUUGUAGCAUUUUGCAUAACUGAAUCGUGUAAUGGGGUUGUGAUGACCUGACGUCGGAGGAGGAAGAGGUGACGCGUGAUGAUGUUGUCAGCUCUAACCAUGGUGUGGAGGCAUUUGACGAUGAAGCCUGAAAGAACAAAAAGAUGGAGUGUGCACAAGCAAUAUGAGAUAACACAGCUAAGACGAGGAUCUGAAGAAGAAGAGGAACAACAAGAACGGAAAAGAAGAAGCGACGACAAAAGAAGAAACAACGACGACAAAAUAAGAAUAAGGCAAGGAUGGACUUCCAACUAGUUCGGCAUCGGUGAACUAUCCCUGUUGAGUCAUUUGACUGUUUAUUUGUAAUGAUAUUUUCUAAUAGUUAGAACGAACUGUGAUUCCUUUUCUAAUUAGGACUGAAACUAUGUCCGGAUCGUACAUGAUAAGGUCAUCGCUAAUGAGAAGUGAUGAUAGCGCCUUAUACAGUUUGCAACCAAACGACUUAGUUUGUGCGUCCUAUGCAACGUAGACAACCAAACUAACAAGUAAAUAUUGUUUCCCUCACGUAGCCAAUCUUGAUGCAGACAAUCAAACUAUAUGCAGAUGAUCUCUAACACAGUCCCAUCUAAGAUGUAAAGAAAGAGAAAAAUGAUACAGUCAACCAAACACGCCAUAAACCAGGGCCCUCGCUCACAUCGUCGAGGUACCGGUGCUUGGCAUGCAGAUCCGACCUCGUACGAAUCGCAACACCCCGCUUGACCUGUUGGCUGCGCGCUGCUUGAGGUAAGGCCCUCGGGACGGGAGGGAGGGAGGAGGGGCCCAAAGCCUCUCGUCUCGUCUCGCACCACAAAAAGGAUCGCGUGUCUCGUACACCGUGGUUUUUAAUCACUCCCCUCCUUCCUUCUUUCCUGGAGCUGGAGCUCUUUACUCCACUCUCACUACUCACUCGUCACACGCCACUCGAUCCCAUUCCAUUCAGCGCACAAGCCCAGCAGCAGCAGCGGCAAUGACGCCGCGCGCGUCGUGAGACAGACCUACAUACAGGCGGUGUUGGCGCUCGCUGGCGGUGGGGGGGCGAUUAACCGGGCCAGUCUGCGCGCGGGCCAUGGCGGGCGGCCCGGCGAUGGCUCCUGCGGCGGCGUGGUGGCCAGGCGCGGGGGCGGGGGCGCAGGAGCACGAGGAGAUGCGGUGGCGGCAGCUGGAUGGCGGCGUCAGCGCGGUCUCCUUCGGCUUCGUCGCCACGGCCAUGCUCGUCUCCAUGUUCCUCGCCAUGGCCGUGCUCGAGCACUUCCUCCGCGCCCCGCCCAUGGGCCCGCCGGAGCCCUCGCCAUCGCCGCCCCGAGGCGGGGUCCUCCUCCGCCUCCUCCGCCGCCGCGGCGCCGGAGGCAGACCCCCCGGCGCGGAUCUCGAGGCGGCAGGGAAGCUCGACGCCGGACGCGCGUCCCCCGAGGUACCACUACGACGGCACUGCUCCCCCCGCACGCCCCGCCGCCGCCCCCAUUCCCCAUCCGCUCCCGCCUCCCCCCCGCUUUUCAUGAUUCCGUCGUCUCGCCCUUUUUUUACCCUUUCCGCGUCGCUUUUACUGCUCACCGUGCGUGUGGCUGUCUGUGUGCACUUGAGAGUUGAGGCCGACCCAGAUUGCGCAUCAUUUCGUUCCUCCACCACACUCGACUCCGCCAUGAUGCAUCGGCCAUGGCUAGGGCCAGGACCUAGGAGGGAAGCAUCAGAGGAGGAUGCCCAUUGCCCAAGCAGGGACCAAGAGAUUCCUGCCUCGAUUUUUAUGGUGGCUCAAGAAAGUAUCUUAAUAACAUACACAUCAAAGGAGCACAUUUUGAUCUGCAGCGCCGAACCAGAUCUUGCUGAUGUGGUUCAUCACUUGAUCACAGCUCAUCUUCGUCAGUAGUUCAUAGUAGCAGCGUAUCCAUCCAUUAUAGUCGAAGUGAUGUUAAGUUCGUCCAAACUCUGAAACAACUCAUUAAUUAGCUUGGUCGAGAUGUGUCCUACUGCUAGUACCUCAACCCCACAGGUCUCUGUUAAGCCACAACUCAUUUAAUUAGCCUGGUCGGGAUGCCCCACUGCUUCAACCCCACAGGUCUCUGUUAAGCCGUUAGCCACAUCGAUUUCUCCUGUCAUAUUAGCCCUACACAAGUACCAGCUGCAGCUGCUGUCUCAGCAGUUAAUCAUUCAUCAUUAUUUAGAUCGCUUUAUGCUAAGUGGCCACAUGGUGUUUUUUCAGGAAAAUGAGUUAAGAGUAGAUUGAUCACAGGGGUGGAUCUUCCUGAUGCAAUCGAUUUCUAUCCUUCUGUACUCUCUCUUGUGGAUAAGUUCAGUUGGCACCUUCAUAUGGCUUGUAGCAACAUUCUUGUCCAUUUUGUAUGGUGUGAUAUGUAGUGGUAGAAGACAAGGGGAGUUGCUAUUUAAGAUCAUGGGUUGUGGAAUUGAGAGGGGGGUUUGGCAGACAGUGUGGAACAGACAAGGCCCACCCCUGUCUGCACCUAACAACAAGGUCUAAAUCACAUUCUAGCUUCCAAUAUUUGUUCUCCAUCCAAAACUCAGACAGCCACAGCCUGCAGGCCCCAGAUGAUGUGGUCAUCAUUUGUUUGCUCGCUGUCAAAUGUGGAACCUCCUGUUACUAAGAUGGACCAGCAUCACAAUUUACUUUGAGCUUGUACUGUGCCCCAUCAUGGAAAUCAAGAAAGUCAGUUAAUUAAACACGGGAGGAGCGUUGAAGUACGGAGUAUAAAUGGUGCCCUUGUCUAAGAACUUGACUUAACCCUUAGAAACUUGAUGCUAGACUUCACACAAAAAUAAGGGGUUGUCUCUUGCUCGCUAGCUGGGCCGUACCAUGAGCUGCUCGCAGCCAUGCUCACAGGGUUCGCCUCAGUGGUGCAUGACUACGCGCAGCUCCUUUCCGUCGCUCCUGCUGGUCGGCAUACCCAGCAUACCCUUAGUUGUGCCGCCUGUUUGUUGUUCGCCGAGAGAUUGAGGGAGGCGUUAGGGGCUUAAUGAAUGAGCAUGCAAGGAGGAGUAUUUUUAUUAACUACUAGUAUAUUAUAAGUUUGAAAUAUUGAUUGGAGGAGUAUUUUUAGUAACUGUAGUAUAUUAUAAGUUUGAAAUAUUGAUUGGAGGAGUAUUUUUAGUAACUAGUAUGUUGGAAGGUAUUGUAAAAGGGAAUGAGGUUGAUUGAGCGCCGUCAAAAUAUGAAAUUCAGUAUUUUUCUGUAGUCUUUCUGAAAUCUGCCAAAUCACCUUUCUGCUAUGAUAUAGAAAAACAAAAUGAUAUAUCACCUGUUACCGACCCUGUCUAGCCAUCUAACGUGCCAAGUAUAAGCCACCACAUAUAAAAUUCAGUAUUUUUCUGUAGUCUUUCUGAAAUCUGCCAAAUCACCUUUCUGCUUCUUCCAUGUUUUCAUAGUGUGUUUGUCAAUAACAGCAUCGGGUAUUGAGCUUUGUUCCCAUUGUCUGCAAUGAACGUUAUCAUCCAGCUAUUAUGUUAUAUUUCAUUUCUCGAUGACAGGUCAUUCAUGGCCGUUACUGAAUCUAGACCAUCAGUCCCAGCUUCCAUCCAAGUUCAGAUAAAUUUCUGAUCAGUUCUUGGGUAGUAGGGGCUCCAGUUCCACCCAAUUCCAGGUUAUCAUUAUUCAGGUUGCAUACCAUAGUGGAUGUUGAUCCUGGCUCUAGGACCUGCUCGAGAUGACCCUGGAACCAAGUAGCAAAGGUGUCUUGAUGGCAGAUUGGCAGCCACACCUCAGGGGGAGGAGGAGAAAAAUGGAAAAAUAUAGUAUAGUACUCCCUCCGAUCGAAAUUAAUUGAUGCAGCUCUAGUGCAACUUUGUACUGAAGUUGUACUAAAGCUGCCUCAAUUAAUUUGGAUCAGAGGGAGUACUACGUUUUUUUCUGCUUAAUCCAACCAAAAGAAGUGCCAAUCCUUAUAUCGGAGGUGCUUGCCCCUAACACAAGUAACUAAUCUUACCUUUCCUAACUUAUACAAAUAUAAAGAAAACAAACUUUGGGGAGAUGAACCUUUGUAGCUGCGGUGCAAAUGAAAUUCCCUUUAUUUUAUUUUCCAGAUUUAAUUGUAGUCAGAUACACACUCUAAAGCAAUAGCAGUAUGCUAGAACAGGCAUCUGGUAGACGUAGCAUCGAUAACUCAUCUUAUGCACAGUUGUUCCACCAUCUAUGGACCUAUUUACCCGAAUAUUGACAUACCAUACAUCCAAUGAUUUUUCAUCAUCUGUUUCAGUUUUGCAGUUGGGUUGGGUUAAUUUGAUUCGAUUGGUUCUUGGGGAUGUUAUGGCAUCUUGUUUUUUGUGUUGAUAUUCAUUCUGCUUCCCUUCUCACAAUCAUAUGAAAAUAAAAAAUACAACUGAUUAUGAAAGCAAAACAUCCCUCCUAUUUCUGACUACAUACACAUUCUUACUGAUUACUUGGCUUAUAUGUGGCUUUGCAGAUGCCUGUCUAUUCCAAAGGGGUAUCCGUCCUGAUGCCGGGACAGGACGUGCCGACGUUCAUCGCGCAUCCCGCGCCUACGCCCUGCCCCCCGGAGAGGGUCCGAUGGCCAUCGCACCAGCCCGCUCCGUUCGCCGGUUCCUCAUCAAAUCCAAGCUAGCGCGUGGCUGCCGGACCGAGCACCGAGCACCCUUCUGUCUGUCUCACCAUCCAAGGGAAGGGGUAAAAUGCCGGCGGAAUGGCGGCGGUCCACAGGAGCACACCUCUGGUUUCUUCUGUGGCCAUGUCACCUCCGGCGCCUUGGUGGAACUGAAGAGGUUCUCUCCAUGCGUUGUACAGUUUAGAUGUCUGUUGCGGAGCAAGUUUUGGUAGCUCCUGCUGCCUGCCUGUAUUAUGGCGGGAGAAGAGCGGCUAGCCUGGUGGAUCAAUGGAAUUGUUGCCGAUCCCGCUUGCUCGGCUAGUGGUGUUUAGAUGCUUUCGUUGUCGUUGGUUAUAGAGUCGGUCGUAGAUGUGCGUCAUGGAUGGAUGUACUUGUACACGUCUUGUGUAAUUUCGUUGCAUAAAUGACUUGAGCCUAUUGGAGCUGAGCCCCCAUCAGCCUCGUAUCGUAUCAUUGCGCAGAAAAGGAAAAAAAGCCUCGUAUUUGCCAAGCUCGUGGUCACAAAUUACAUAGAGUAGUAUUUAAGUUUUUUUAAUAAACUAGCACAAAUGCCCGUGCGUUGCAACGGAAGACAUUGUUACAUGUCUUAUGACUACAGCUAUUUUUCUCUUUUCUCGUCUCAGUUUGUCAAACGUACAUGUGUUACAAUUGAAUAAAAAAAAUUCUUUAGAUUCCUACUGUUUCCGUAUAUGCUUUUUGAGGAGAAAAAAUGGCCAGCUUGAUUUAUGAAGCAAGUUAAAUACCUCAACAGGUUAUUAACACCUUUUAUUAUGCUCACCAAUGUUUCAUAUAUUUUCAUUUUAAUUACUCACUCCGUUUUUAAAUUUGUGCGCCAUAUAUUUAAAUUUGUGCGUGAAAUAACAGCCCUUAAAAGCGCCCCUCACAGUUCUGUGUUUUACUAAUGUAAAAAAUAUGCUCAAUAGAGAAAAUAACAAAAUAAGCUUAUGUGGGAUCGAAUCGAUGACUAUGGGUUAAAAGCGUUGAGCUCUAGCCAUUUGAACUACUAAUAUGCUAAUGGUAAAUUUGUAGUCCGCUGGUUAAUAACCAUAGUAAAGCGUAGCCACUUUACAAAGGAAAAACGAAACGUUUGGUUAAUUACACUUUAUUUAUUUAUUUAAUUAUUCUUAUUUGUUUUUUUUCCUUCGUAGGUUUUAUUGGUUCUUUAUUACACUUUAUUUUUUGUAUGUUUCUUAGUUUUGUUGGUUUUUCUUGUUUUUGCACUGGUAUUCCUCGGGUUAAUCACUGAAUUUUUUAUUUUUACCGGUUUUGUGUUUCUUUGUCAGUUUUUAUUUAUUUCCUUUCUUCUUAUUUAUCUUCAGUUUUUAUUUCGUACAUUUUUGGUUUUCAAUGAUUUUUUUUUCCUUAUUACUUUAUUUUUUCUCUGUUUUCACUAUUUUUUAUUAUUGCUAUGUUUAUCAUUUGAAAACAUAAUUCAAUAAACCAAGGAAGAGACAAUCAACAUAUAUAUAGAAGCAUCUCAAGAAAAAGAUAUGUCCACCAAUAAAUAAUUGAAUCUCAUUUGUGAAAUACUGACAGCAAAUGUAGAAUACUGAUAGUUGGCACUUCAUAUGACAAUGAGAAAAUAAACCACUCCUAUAAACUCUUUUGUUCUCGUUAUUAUUCACAUGCUUAGCUAAUGUUCAGGUUUUUAGGAUAAAUCAUAAAUAACCAUAACCAUGAUAACAGUCAAGCUUAUCGGGUUUAUUCCGCCUACCCUAUGAGAUAAAGGCAAAAAAAUGGAACAUGUUCUGUGGAUCUGUGCACAUCAAACUUUGCAAUGUGUGGUACAUAAAGGACAAUUUAGAAUAUACAUAUAUCCUGAUACCUAAUUGUUACUUGCUUUCUCAUCUCCCAUGUGCACUCUACAUAACAUAUGCAUACAUUACAGGCUUCAAGCGUUCAUGAAUUUCUUCAGCAAAUUUAACAUUAUCACAGAGUAAGUCAAACUUGUGACCCAGCAUGCUAAGGGAAACAAAUUCUAAUAGCAAACAGUGAAACUCCCCAAAACUGUCAGAUUGCUGAAAUAUAUCUCUAUUUCCUGUGCUGGUUAAUCUUCGGAUUCUGACUCACCCUUGCAUUCCUCGCAUAGACAGGUCAUAUCCUCCUUUAAUAUUCAAGUCUAAUAAGAGCAGGUCCUCAAUUUUCAGGGUGCAUUUGGCAUUCUUCGCCUCCUGACUUCGUACACGGUAGAGCUGAAAAUCCAAAUUAUUAUCAUGAAGAUUGUCAUCAGAUAUAGCUUUCACCGGCUGUUCAGUGCUUUCUUCAUACACAUGUGUUCCAUUGUCUGACAAGCCCGGAAGGGCUAGGUUAAAGUCUGUAAGCUGUGAUCUAGCAUUUUCUAGGCCAGCAGAUCCAUUUGCAUCAAAGGAAAUGUUUUCUUGAGCUUUCUCUAGUAUUUCCUUUAAAUAUCUCACUUGAGCCUCUAUUCGCAUCUGCAGCUUCUUCUGCACCUGAUCACAGAAAUAAGCAUUUUUUUAGGCUGAUACAAGCAUUUUUAACCUAUAUGGUACAGAAUUUGGUAGUAUAAGCAGUGAUGCACAACUUUUCUAACCUCAAGUUGUUCACACAAUUCUCUUUGGACCUGGAUUUGAUACCUGAGGGUGUCCUCAAGCGGCAUUUAUCUGAUUCAUAUAAGAAAUGUUUUGAAAAUGGUUAGUUAAAUCAUCAUACAGUCUCAACUGAUGAAAAAGGCACAUAGAAGACAUAUGACAGUAAGUAAUCAGUAGGAUUCCCUCUUUGUGACUCUAUAUAAGGAACUUUGCAUAUAUACUUAUGGAAGGGCAAAAUUAAUCACAACCAAGAAAAGCUAGUGAUUGCUACUAACUUGUACAACUACUAAAGAUCUCACUUUUCAGUUAUACAUGAGUAUCUCUAAUACCAAUGCUGGUUUAAGUUCUGUCCUGCAGGCAAAAACAAUAGUGCUUGAUUUCUAUAUAUGCCUGGUGAUCAUUGAGGAUUUAGCUCUAGCACAUGAUGCCUUAGCGCAUGGUUAGUCUCAAAUUUAAGUUGACAGCUUGAUUGCCCAACACAAAACAAAGAACCGUACUGCACUGUCGACGGCAAAAAUUAGUCGACCUUUUUCUUUAAAAUUAUGCUUUGAACAGUACUACAAAAUCAUUGGAGGGACAGGAAAACAGAGUAUGUAGUACUCAUCUAAUCCCUUAAGUGUUCAGAUUCAUAAGUAAAUCGCCUUAGUUCAGUCCAGGGAAAACUUACAAGAUAAUUCAACAUCAUUUGUCUUUUUACGUAGACACAAUUUAGUAGAUUAAUUGCCUUCAGUAUUUUGCGUCAAACAAUGUUAAGCAGUAAUAACGUAGUAGUAUAAGCAUCAUGCAACCAGAAUCAAAUGGAGAACAGAUGAGAAGGAAAUAGAAACUCACCAGUCGAGUCCAUGUCGUAAACCUUGACAUCCAUGCGUUCAACCGCUUCGCCAGAUGAUCAUACCUCCCACUUCCAAAUCGAUACACCAAACCAUCAGCUACCGGCGACAUGAUUUACUGUAAUUUUUGAGUAAGCAACAGAGAAGAAGGGGAUCAAAUUCUCAGCACGACGGCGGCCUUGGCCUUCUUCCCAGAGGAAGACGCCGAGACGGCGUCCGCGAUGGCGGCCGAGUCCACCUGGGGCGCGCGCCAUCGGAAGGGCAGGAGCAGGAGCAGGAACAGGAGCAUCGGCUGGAGCACGGUGAGGAUCCGACGCAGCGCGAGCAGCGACAGCAGCGCGCUGAUCCUGCCCGCCGCGUCCGCCGCCUGCAUGCUCCCGGCCAUCCCUCUGCUCUGCCCCUCCUCCGUUAGGUCCAGGAGCGCUGGCGAGGCUGGCGAGGUCAACGGGGUGAGGCGACGCUGGCGAUAUGGAUCCCCGAUCCAGAUCGGGUCGGCGAGGCGGCGACGCGAUGCAGGGUCCAGCGCGGGAUGAUGACUGCUCUUGUGGCCGGAUCUGGCGAAGAACGACGAUGAGCGGCGGAGGUCCAUGGCCAUGGCGGUCCUGCGGAACAGGGGAAGAGAGACCUCAGAUGAGAGAGAGGGAACGGGAGAAAGGAGAAGGAAGGCGCGGCGCGGGCUGCCAUGGUCGGGAUCCGGGCGGAGGAGCUGUCGGUGCUCCGGCGGCGGCAGAGCUCCAAUGAACGCCCACCGGAGGCGGUAUCGGGUGUGCGGCUUCGGGAGGAAGGAGAAGGAGCUCAGGGGCUGGCGGCGGCGGCGGAGGGCUUUUUUACAAAAAAACAAAACGUUUUCUUCCACUUACUAUAGGAUUGCGGGUUGAUUUCAAUAAGCCUCAGGGGCUUUUUUUGCAGAAAAACCAUGACGGACGACAGAAGUGCUGCGCGCUUUAUUAUUAGGGGAGAUACAUGGUCUACAUAUCUCUACAAUUAAAGGGGGAUCUGCCGUCGUGAUAGUUCGACCUUCCUUCCCCGUCGUACGAGUUCCCCUCCCACCUAUCGAUCCCCCGACGCGAUUGCAUCGUUAACUUCUUUUUUGUUUACCGCGACCCACCCACGAUCCCGCACGUCCUCUGUGAAUCCACCCCACAACCGCACACCCGCACGCGUCCCGGAUCCCGCCCCCGCUCCAUCGCGCCCAUGCGCCGUCACCUCUCUUGCGCCACCGCGCCCGCUCCCGGCCAUCACGCCCGUACGCCGCCACCUCUCCCGCACCACUACGCCCUAGCCCUGCUCGACACUCCCGUAUCCGCCCCCGCCGCCCCGCCCCGUCGCUCAUCCCUCGUCGUCCGCCACGUCGCUGAGCCCCCGCCGGGCCGUCCCGCCGCUCAUCCCUUACCGGCCGCCCCGUCACUCCUCCUCCGCUCGUGCCACCGUACUCGCGCCGCAUCAUCGCUUUCGUGCUCAUUCCAUGUAAUGCCCCAAGUUUAACCUUGUCAUAUUUGGAACCUUCCANNNNNNNNNNNNNNNNNNNNNNNNNNNNNNNNNNNNNNNNNNNNNNNNNNNNNNNNNNNNNNNNNNNNNNNNNNNNNNNNNNNNNNNNNNNNNNNNNNNNNNNNNNNNNNNNNNNNNNNNNNNNNNNNNNNNNNNNNNNNNNNNNNNNNNNNNNNNNNNNNNNNNNNNNNNNNNNNNNNNNNNNNNNNNNNNNNNNNNNNNNNNNNNNNNNNNNNNNNNNNNNNNNNNNNNNNNNNNNNNNNNNNNNNNNNNNNNNNNNNNNNNNNNNNNNNNNNNNNNNNNNNNNNNNNNNNNNNNNNNNNNNNNNNNNNNNNNNNNNNNNNNNNNNNNNNNNNNNNNNNNNNNNNNNNNNNNNNNNNNNNNNNNNNNNNNNNNNNNNNNNNNNNNNNNNNNNNNNNNNNNNNNNNNNNNNNNNNNNNNAAGUGGUGUGCAAAGCUUGGGUUUAACUAUGUAGUUUUUCAAACUAGAGUUCAAAGGAAGCCCCCUUCUUCCUUAUUUUCUUGAGCUCAAGAUUUACUUGCUCUGAACCUGAUUUUCAAAUGUAGAUCUAUUAGAGCAUUUUCUUGUGGAUGUGGCGAUGUGUCUAGGCCAUUUUAAAAAAGCUUUGCUUAAAUGGGGUUNUGGGUUCGAGUCCCAGAGGCGCCCUUUUGCUAUUUCCUUGUUUUUGUGGUGGAGUAUCUUGACAGGAGUUGAUACCCUGCAUGUUUCCCCUUCCCUGUCGAAGUGGAGCGGCUAGCCCAGUGGUGGGGUGUUGGUUGUGCAUCAGUUAGGUCUUGGGUUCGAUUCCAAGCACCCCCUCCCCCUUUUAAUUUUAUUUUUCCUUUUGCUGUUUUCAAGUAUGCUUGCAAUGUUCAUUGCUUGGGCAGCAAGCUAGUGCUCCCUUUUAGCUAGUGUGUGUGUAUGUGAGUAUAAACAUGUGUAUUUAUGUGUGAGGGCAAGUUCUUGCAUGGUGUGUGUGUAGUUGAAGCAUGUGUAGGUGGGUGUUGUGUGUAUGUGUGCAUGGGAGCAUAUGCACUAGUGUGUGCAUGUGUGUUUGUGUGUGGGUUACCCCCACAUAUUUGUGCAAGUGUGCACCAAGACAUGUAUGUGUGUGUGUGUGUGUGUGUGUGCAAGUGCUUGUGCAUGCACUUGUGUGUGUAGUGGUAGUGUAUGUGUGUAAUGCCCCAAGUGUAGGACUUUCCCUUCUUGUAACCUUCCAUGUGGGGCCACCUUGUCAGAGAUCUUGAUGAUAUCUUUUGUGCCAUGAAUUCAUGUGUGUUCCCUAGUGCUUACUUCCCUUGCAUGCAUGAAUUACAUAUCAUUCCUUGCCAUACUUAUGAUUGCAUGCCAUGAUCAUGUUGCAUUUGAGUUUAAUAGGAGUAGUGUUGUGGUGUUGUGAGUGCAUGUGAUCUUGCUAGGAUUAAGUGGUGGUUUUGCACUACCUUGUGAUGCAUGUGAUAAUGGUGUGUGUGAUGUAGGAGUGAGUGCUAGUCUUUUAAAGCUCUUGCCUUUUAAACUCCUUUUCCCUCCUAUUUUUAUUCUUGUCAAAAUUCCUUCUUCCCAAAGAUGAUUCUAAAAUGUCUAGUGGUUAGAUAAAAUGUGCUUAUGAGGGAGUGCAAUUUUUCUGAUUUGAAUCUUUGAUUUAAGUGGUGCAAAUAAACUCAAAACAGUAGCUUAAUUACUGUUUUGCAUUUAUUUCAAACAUCUCCAAAUAUUGCUUGUCUAUUUUUCCCUAUUGGGCCAUUAUUUCUUAGGUCUAGCGGGAUUUUCCUUUUAUUUUUUAACCCAGUAGUUAUUUUGGGUAAUAUAUUUUUCUUUCCUUCCCUGGGUGCAUUUGUUUCUCUGUUCACCUAAUUGGAUAACUUCCUGGGUAUCUAAUUCUUUCCCUGGCCCAUUAAGCCUUCUCCCGUGCUGGCCCAGUUGGACUCCACCCCUGGCGACAGAGCCCACUGGCGAGCGUUUCCUUCUUCCUCCCGACGUCACUCCUGUACGACGUGCGCUCCACCUCUCGAUCACUCUCUCCUUGAUCCAGCGGCUCGAGCUCGCCUCCCGAGACGUUAAAGAGGAGCCCGGGACCCCCUCCUCCGCCCUAGGGUUCCCUCUCCGUUUUCCCCCAGCGCCGCCAGUGUCCUCCUGCCCUCGUUCUUCCCUGGUAAGUUUCAGAGAGGAAGCAGAGAGAGAGAGAGAGUGCAACGCCUCCUUCGUCAACCCGCCGAUCCGUCGUCUCCGGCACCGGCCGCCAUGGGAGUCUCCUUCCCUGCUUCGGUCUACGUCGGAGGAGCUUCUUCGGCGUCCUCCUCCCCGUUCGGCGCCCCAUCUUCUCCCAAGGUGAGGCCGCGUCCUCCCCGUCCUUCCUCCGCCGCGGACCGGCUCGGUCCCGUCGGGCGCAUGCUUCCUCUGUUAGUAGCAGCAGCAGGUUAGAGGAGCAGUAGCGGCUGUUCUGUGCCGAGUUUGUGCGUGCGUUGUCGAGAGGAGAGGCAAGGCGUAGUGGUGUAGCAGGGUGUUGGUAGCAGUUCGACGCGUAGUAGCAGCAGCAGCAGCCGGCAGUAGGCGCUAGCAGUAGCAGCAGCAGCUAGCCGGUGCAACUUAUCAGCUGCAGCGGCAGAGCACACUGCUGCGUUCCGGGCAGCCAAAGGAGGGACCUUUUCCCGUGCUCAGGGUGGGAAUGGAUCCCCUGAGAGUCCCGCGGGCCCCGCCGAUGGUUUCCCCUGCCGGUGGUGGCCGGGAGUGGCGCCGCCAGCGUCCUCGGGUCCGGCCGCCGGCAGAGCUCAUCUCGUGAGUGGAGUGGGUUUUACUUUUUACCUUCUCGUCUUAGCCAGUCUCCGGUCCGUAGCCCGAUGGUAGUGUUGCUCUGUCUUGUGCUUGCGCCUGAUGAGAGGUCCAGGGUUCGAGUCCCCCCCUCGGCGCCCUUUUGAUAUUUUGUUUUGAUUUAUGUUGCGGGUAGAUUACCUUGCCUUUUUCCCUUCUCCUGUUAACAUCAGUAACAGCAGCGCAGUGGUAGAUGUGUGUUUGUGUUAUCGUCAGGUGCAGGGUUCGAAUCCCAUGCGUUGCACCCCCCUUUUUAUCUUGCCUGUUUCCUUUCUGAUUUGCAGUAGGGCAGCACAACAGAGUUUAACCUCUGUUUGGGUCCUUCUCUGUCGAGCCCCAUGGGCAUAGCAGAGUGGGUGGGUGCAGUAGAGAGCAUCAGCAGGUUCAGGGUUCAAAUCCUGACCCCUCUUGCUAUUGUGUUCUUUCCCUGUUGUUUUUUUUCUUCUGCUACAUUUUUUUUAAAACACCCUUCUUACUAUUGCCGAUCUUGUGCCUACCAAAGGUGGCCAUGGAAUUAUGUUUUUUUUUCCUUGCUGUUAUAGUUGUGCUAGGUGAUGUAGUGUGUGUGGUUGUGCUUGUGAGAGAUGUGCAUGUGAGUGUGUUUUCCUUGUGCUUGGAGUGGGCUCUUGCACCAUGUGGGGCUAGUAGAUUGUGAUGUGUGUGCAUUAGCUUGUGGUAGCUCUAGUAUAGAUAUGUGUGUGAGAGCCUCACCCAUGGCAAGGCAUGAAGAGCAUUGAUGUGCUCAUGAGUAGUAGUGUGUGGUGGUGUUGGAUUCAUUUAGGGAGUGUAGCUAUUGUAUGCUCUAACUAGUUCUAGUAGGACUAGAUUUGUGUCAUGCUAGAUAUGUGGGUGGUGUGGACCUCCCCACCUUUACAAGUGGUGCACCUCCUCAUGUUUAAUAUGAGAGAGGGCAUAUUGUGUGUGUGGGGUUGGCUCAUGUGUGUUGGUGUUGUUGAUGUGCAUGACACAAACAUGGGGUUCAAACCCCCAUGUCACUUUGUCAUUGUGCACAUGAAACCCUCCUAUGUAUUGUCAUCUUAGAAGAAUACCUUAUGGAUUUGCAUUUUUAUUUUGUUGAAAGUUUGGGCUUUGUUUCCAUGAUAUAGAUGGAGCCCAAAGGCAUGGAUCUUGGUGUGUUAGUUGUAGGGGUUUGCGCUCAAUACCAUAGUGGUGUCAAACACCUCUUGGGAACUUGUGUGUGCAAACUAUGCCUAGACAAAGUGGGCAUGUGGUUGGGAAAUUCCAGAUUUUUGAACUCUGAAAAUUUCACUAAGUCUGGAAUGCUGAAAACAUUUUCUUCCCCUGUAGAUAAGGUUUUUCUGGUCAUUAUGUUGAGAACUGGACUUAGUUCAGUGCUAGUCUUUUGAACCUGGGGUGUUUGUGAAGCUUCCUGUCAAUUUUCAAGUCAUUUGGAGUCCAGUAGCUUGUGUUUUGAUUGCUGUAAAAAAGCUUCAGAACAGAAACAGAAACUCAGGUGCAGGAAUUUUCACUAAGUCCCUGAGAACUGAUGGUUUUGGGAAAGUUUGUGGCCUUGUAUCUUCUAGAGUUUAAUUCCUUUUGCUGUGAUUCUUGCUGGAGCUUGUAGUGUUCUUGGUUGGAAACAGCCACAUAUAUUAUUUGUCGUAUUUGAAGACCUGUAGCUAUGUUGCAUGUGGCUCACAAACAGCUAAGAUGCAGAAACUGGCAGAUUGCGUAGUUUUGACAUUUUGUUCAAAGUUUGUGUUUAAUUGUUGUUGGGGUGUUCUACCUUGCUCCAUUUCAUUCAUGUUGGGUUAAUAUAUGUCUUGGAAACCUGGGAACACCAGAUUUGUGCCAAUUGUGUGUGUGGUGAUGAAUCUUUCACGUAGGGCUUCAUAUCGUGUUUCGUUGAUUCCCGUUGAUCCGUAGCUCCGUUUGCAAAGUUCUUUACAUGGUUUUGCACCGUUUUUACGAGCUGCAUCUGUUAAUAUCAUUCCCAGGCAUGUCCAAAUAGUUUAGUGCAAAGUUAUGUCCAGGAACUUGUUGUAGUUUAUCCUGCUUGUGCUAGUGUUAGAAAUAGUGGUGCAUGCUCAACUUUCAUCUCAUGCAUCAUGUGAUUGUUGCAUUUUGUGGUGCUGCUGUUCAUUGGCUGUUAUUUCUUGUGUUGGGUAGCACCGGGAGCGGAGAACGAAUACGUGGAGUCAGGAGAGUACGUGCAGGACGAUCCAGAACCAUUCCAAGCUGAGGAUAUCACAGGCAAGAUGACAUGACCUUGAUCCCAUAUCUAGACUUGUUAUGUUAGUUUUGAUUCCACGUCAUAUUGCUCGCUGCCUACCACUGAAAAUAUAUUGCCUCUUCAUAUGCCAUGAGCCUAAACACUUUACUCUUUCCUAGCAAACUUGCCUGGCUAGGUAGGCUUGCUCAGCUACUAAUGUUAGCAUUGUUAGUUGCAGGUGUUUAUAACUCAUGAGUUGCCAUGAGCUUGAUAUCAUUAUAUUAAAUUUCUGUUAUUUAAUUAAUGUAUCUAUAUAUUUGGUAAAUGACGGGAGGCCUAGCCUUUUGCCGGGUGUCUUGUUCCGUUAUUGCCGCCUUAGUUACCGGUUACCGGUGUUUGAUUCCAUAAUGAUCGCUCCUAACACGUUCGGGGUUGUUAUGGGGACCCCCUUGAUAAAUCGCGUAGUGUUAAGGCUUGUCCGGCAGGACCCAACUUUGGUUUUAAUCUGCUAAUCACAUAAUAAUCUGCAUAGGGAAUAGCUACCCCGAGGAAUUUACUCAACAACCCGGGCCAGUGCUCCCCAUGAGUGUUGGCCCCACCUGAGCGAUGUCCGGGGCCCCACUGGUCACCCACAGGUUUAGCCAUCCGGACGUCUAGCUCAUCUGUCGUGUCCUGAGACUGAGAUACGCGGCUCUUAUCAGGGUCGUCGACACGACGGGAGGUCCUGCUAGCCUUGUCUUGCCUUAGCGGUAUAUCUUGCGUAUAGGAAUCCCGGUGAAGCUGUGGUUUUCCCCAGAGUUGAGGUUUUCCUCUAAGGAAUCCGACGAGAUCACGAGAUUCGUGAUAGAGGAUGCCUUUGCGGCCUGUGUUCGUUUGUGAUGGACUAGUUGGAGCACCCCUGCAGGGUUUAAUCUUUCGGAAAGCCGUGCCCGCGGUUAUGUGGCAACUUGGAAUAUCUUGCUAACAUCCGGUAUUAGAAAACUUAAACAUAAACUAAUAAAAUAUGCCAACUGUGUGUGUAACCGUGACUGUCCCUUCGAAGUCCUCUCUUCGAACGGGAACACGGUGGGGUUAUGAAUGUCGUAGGUAGGGGUUCAGGAUCACUUACUGAUCAAGCAUUCUUGUUCGUUAGCGUAGACCACGUUUACUUCCUUCUCGCGUAAGUUAGCCACUUAUUCAAUCAUAGGUUGCAGCAGCCUGAAACACUUCUUACCUUCCUUACCCAUCAACAUGACUAGUUCUGGCACCAAGGUCUUAGAUUGCUGAGUCCCCGUGGCUCACGGAUUCCUCCGAAACUUCCAGCAGGUACAGGUACCCCAGAGACCGAUGGUCCCGAUGGCAUCCAGCUAGCGUGGCAGUACGACGAGGAGACAGACCGUCUUUACGUGAACUAUCCAGAGGACUGAGCCAUGGUCGUGAUCGUGGGCCCGCAGCCGGUAGCAUAGCAUUUCCCUUGUUUUGUAGUCCGUACCGGAACUACCUUGUUUGUAUCUGCGUUGUACUCUGUAUUAUUAAUAAGAAGACAGUUGAAUCCCAGAUUGUCUACUAUAUUUAUUAUUAUGUGCUAUGUUUACUUGCUUGCAAAACACUUAGAUGCGCUUCUUUCCUAUUCGGGGGCCUCGACUCCCAGAUCGGAAAGGACCGCAUCUUGGUCGUUACAAUGUGUGUGUGUGUGUGUCACACACACAUGAGCAAGUGUGUUCAUGGUGGCCUUAGUACACCAUGGGGGUUCUUUGAGCACCUAGGGAUAAGUGGGUGAGUGUCAUGUGGUAGUUUUGUGUGUGUAUGCAUGUGUGUAUGUGGUCAUGCAUGUGUGUGUGGGCAUGGGUGCAUCUAUGCACUUGUGCAUGAGGGCUAACCCCUCAUGCUUGCCACCAUGGUGUGUN
rnacentral:lncRNA from 1 species